AUGUAUGAUCUGUUUGGCUUCAUAACUUCUUCCUACCUGAUCCUUAUUACACUGCAGUUGUUUGUCAUUGUGCUUUCACUCUAUUGAAUACUUGACCAUGGCUGGCCUAGUGUAAUCUAACUUCCGCUGCAUAGUGAUAGGCAUAAUCUUCGCUGUUUGUCUUCAUAACUCCCACGUUUUGAAGACUUUCCUAAAACUCGCCUAUUCACCCCCCCCCCUCUAGUCGAUAUAACGCACUUUCACUACAUAAUAAAAAACUACAGUGCAACUAGAUAAAAAAACUACGGUGUAACUACAACCUACUUCGAGUCGUCCUCAUCAUCAUCAUUCUCGCUGGUGUUGUCCGAGGUAUCGAGCCAAAUGUCCUCCCAAUGAUUAUCGUCUGAGUCAAACAACGACUCCCCACCUGCUUCAACGACAUCGCACUGCGAUAUGGCCGGUGCCUUCUGUCGACGCAUGUCCGCCCGCUCCGCGCGGCGCCUUGUUGUCCUCUCCGCCCAGAAGGCGUGCUUGUUGGCGACGUCCUCCGGGUGGCGUCGGCGCCACUCCGGCAUGGCUCACUCGUCCUCCUCGGCGAUGAGGAUGCGGCGCUGCCGCCGACGGUGCUCCUCACGGUCCUGAUCCAUGAUAAGACGAGGCGGAGGGGCGACAGUCUGCGCCUGCUCGCGAGUGUAAACGCCGUGGAGGUUCAUCUGCCUGCGAGGUCUCUCUAGGUACCACGCAGCUGCGUCGUACACGCGAGCGGCCUCGUGCGGUCCCGAACGUGCCGAGGCCGAGGCGGACGUCGCCGGAGCGGAUCUCCGCGUAGUAGGUGCCGGAGGGACGCUUGCGGACACCGCGGUAGCCCGACGAUCCCCGGCGGCGCGGCGACAUGGUGGCGCGGCGGUGGCGGCGCGAGGAAGCGGCGAGCAAGCGACAGAGGAAGCGGCAGAGGCGGCGGGAAGAGCACGCGUGGUAGUGUGGAGGCCACGUGGCGAGCACCGCAAUUUAUAGGCGUGCCGGAAGCGGUGCGCCAAAUCUAGCGCGCGGCUACCCGCUUUCUCCCGCGAGCGUGCAAUCGUUUUCCGCGUACGUUAGUUUCCCACCUUCGUUAGAGCACGCGAAAAUAUCCCGCAUGCGCUAAAGCGACAGUUUACCACACGGGUCUUUUGGUACCGCUGUUGAAGAUGCUUUUAGGAGGAGCGGAGUUUGGCCGGUGUGAACGCACUGCAAGGGCUCGCGUCACCAUGGGGCGGCCAAUAGAACAAUCGUGAGAAAGCGCCGUACGCAGGAUUCUGUAGCAUUGAUCGGAGACAAGGACACAAAAGAACCACCUGUCCGGAGCACGGCGUCGCCCCCAAAAAGCCCAGGAAGGCAGGGAGUGUAAGAACUGUGGGGAUGGAAGCACAUGCAGCAAGAGUCUUGCUGGUAACUUAAUUAGCAAACUUAGACGUGAACUGAAUUUUAAUUAGAACACUUACAGAAGUGUGUCUCAGUAACUCUGGGCUAUGCCUAUGUAACCGUCAUGUUGUGUCUUUCUCAACCAGCAAUUGUGGUACUUGGUUUUUAAUUUGCAAAAACCUGUCAUUUUUAAAGCUGUAGGACAUUUGUAGCUCGAUUAUGUGUUAGUGUUUAAGAGAUCCCUGGAUUGUGGAUUUUGCUUAUCUCUGGCAUAUGCACUCAAACGUUGGCCAGGACAUACAACAUGACCGGCAUGGUGUAUCUUCAGGCUGGCUGAAGAUUUUUUUGAUGUUGAUGAAGUCGGCUGCGCACUUAGGCUGCUUAGACGCCGACGCGUCGAUCUGAAGAAUAAGAGGUGCUGGUCCUGCUUCGUGGGCAGCCUCAAGAGGUGGAGAGCGAGCAAAUUUGGCAACAAGUAGUAUCAUGGUGCCCAGCGAGUUCGGUGAGGAGGCGAGUGCUGUGACGAAGAGGCAUGGCGACAAUGUUUGUCUAAAAAUGUGUGGGCCGUACCCGCGGAGUUGUUCCGCGGGCGCUGAUCCGCAAGCGAGCGAAUGGGGGAGAUAUCGGGACCAUCUGAGCUCGGGCUCAGAAUCGAGUUUUUGAAGGGUUAGUAGCUUCUCAAUGUUAAAAGCCAAACUUGUUUCCAGGUUACUUGCCUGUGGAUGAAGGCACACGGAAUCUGUGAAUAAAACAUGAUGGUGUUCAUGCAAAAACAACCACGUUACAAAUUAACUAGCUAGGCAGUAAUCAUGUUCACACGUUUACACAGACAAAAUUUAUUAUUGCCAAACUUCAAGAAUCCUCUGUGUAAAUGGACCCCGUAAUGCGAUGCUGCAUUGUCUCCUACUCUUCACAGACGUCGCAGACACAAUAGACUUUUGUGAAGGGGUAAACGCCGGUACAAUAAGCAUUCUUGACAUAAUGUCCAUGGUAGUCUCUGGCGCAGUCUGCCCAACAACCUUCAUUUAUGCACGCUGCGCCCUUGUUAGCACGGUGCUCUUUGCAGGUCUCUAAAAGGAAACAAAAAAUUAGUCGUCAAAUGUUUGUGUACAUACAUACAUAGAUACAUACAUAUAUACAUAUAUAUGUGUGUGGGGGGACAUCUCACGAAGACCAAAUAAGUUAAGGCCUUGAAGGAAGAUACAAACGGUCUGUUAUUUUAUUUAUGUAACGUAUACUUAGCAUAUUCUAUCAGCAUGUACAUUUUGAAACUGAGCUACAACAGACGGUGGAAACACAUUUCCACAUUACAGUAUUUUCAAAGAAAUCCCAAAGUUGCUUGGGGAAAUACGUGCAGUUGCAGUUGCACGUUCUUCUUUGCAAAUUAAAAAAUAAGCCAGUGUGAAAAUAGCAAUUUCACCAAUAACAAUACGCAUCUUUGUGAGAAAAUGGUAAAAUACGGAUACAAAAAGUUCAUGCUUGUUUUGCUUGUAACUGCAUGAUUUGUUUCCACUUGAAACUGUGAGUAUAUCAAGAUGUUUUGAUGCGCUUUUCUGUCAGAACUCUAAAAUUAGCGCUGCUAUUUGGCUUGGCAAAAACAGAGAGCACCCAAAGAGAGACAAGAGGGAGAGGCAACGAGCAAAUACCAGCAUCAGCACAAUUUCCUAGCAGCAGAAGCACCGUGAGGAAACAUAGAGUAGUUUUCCCCUCCAUACGUCUGUGCUCUUGUUUGUGUAUUCACUCUCGUUUGGAUUUGGGUGCGAGGUAGCAUAUGUAAUGGCAUCCUUAUAUAGGCCUCUACAAAAUCUAGUUUUAAUAACUAAAUUUUCUCAAGACAAUCCUGAUUUUUCACAUAAAUUCCAUAUAUACAGAUUUCUAUUGCAUUUAUUAUUUACGCACUCAAUUGUGGCAAGACAAACAGAUUUGUCCACAUUAAUAUUCUCAUUAGCUGUCUUCUCAAGGUAGUACUUAUUCUCAUUUAUUACCCAAAUUAUUUUUUUGUGAGUGAUCAAGGUAGUACAUUUAAUUACCCAGAUUAUUUUUCUUUAUUCUCAUUAGUUGUCUCCUAGAGGUAGUAGAUUUGGCCAGGUUUUUUACUUAUUCUCAUUAGUUGUCGCAUUAUACCGAUAUCCAUUUAUCUAAGAGAAUGUUAUCCAACGACCAUUUGCUGGGGGGCAGACUCUAGCGAACGCCCUGUUUGUGGUCCGAUCACGCGGCAUAGAUCUUGGUUCAAGGCGAGUGCCAUGUUGGUUUUAUGGAAACGUUCUCUGGAACUGCUGNNNNNNNNNNNNNNNNNNNNNNNNNNNNNNNNNNNNNNNNNNNNNNNNNNNNNNNNNNNNNNNNNNNNNNNNNNNNNNNNNNNNNNNNNNNNNNNNNNNNNNNNNNNNNNNNNNNNNNNNNNNNNNNNNNNNNNNNNNNNNNNNNNNNNNNNNNNNNNNNNNNNNNNNNNNNNNNNNNNNNNNNNNNNNNNNNNNNNNNNNNNNNNNNNNNNNNNNNNNNNNNNNNNNNNNNNNNNNNNNNNNNNNNNNNNNNNNNNNNNNNNNNNNNUGUCCCGCUUACCACUUUGAUUGAAGUUGGUUUUGUGAACACAUAUGCUUUUUUGUUCGGUUCUGGUAACUAAUUCACACCCAUAACCCAAUAAUCACGACUUAAGACCUCAACAUGUCCACGUCCUUUAUUUCAACAUGGUAUUUAAUUUUGUUGCCGCUUAUCCUCCUUUGCACCCUCGCCGAUGGUGACCUCUAUGCUCACACAACCACAACAUGUUUUAAUGUGGUAAAUCCUAAGGCGUCUCUCUCUCUCUCUCUCUCUCUCUCUCUCUCUCUCUAUCCAUAAUAUUAGGAAUCUGCUUUUUUGUGUGAGCUUUUGCUGACCGGCGUCGGUACGAAAGAAAGACGGAUCGUGCAUUGUUGAUGUUGUUGAUUAAGGUUGCAUCAUAAAUAGCAUAUAAAAAUGUUUAACAAGUAGAAUCAUCAUAUUCAAAUUAUACACAUUUUUGUAAUCAAGUUUCAUAUAUAAUAUGUUAAAAUUGGAGUUAAGAUUUAAAAGAUAUUUUUUUAAAGCAAUUGAUAUGGACUGAGGGUUAAUUAGCAGAAACAACAUUGAAUUUUCUACAAAAGUGAAACGUCAUUUAAAACUGGACUACUGGUUGAUUACCAUGAACCGAAGGGCGAUUUCAGCAUAAAAGAAAACAUUUCCUCUGUCUCAAUUAAAACUGGACAGUCGGUUGAUUAGCAGAAAUAUCAACGAGUUUUCUACAAAACGCGCGAGGGACGGGCAUAAACAAUCCUCCAUUUAUUAAUAGGUAUAGAUUUUUCUUAUUUGAUUUUUAACAAAUUUAAGAAAAAUAAAAAAUUGUAAAAACGUCCAACUUUUCAAAAUAUUCAUGUAUUAAUAUAAUCACAUAUUUCUAUUUUUUUCAGAUUUUCUUUUACAUAUUCAGGUUUAAAAAAUGUUCAAAACUUCCGAAAUUCUGGAAAUCUUAAAAGUAUUCAGAACUUACUUUUUUUAUCUUUAAAAUGUUCACUUCUUAAAGUAAAUAUGAUUUUCAUCCUAUUUAAGAAUGAAUGAAAACUACCUAUAAUAAGAAAAAAAUCUAACUAACAAAAUAGGAUAAAAUAUGUUUUUUUGUGGCUAAACGCCUCCUGAGCUCAUCUGCUCCUGCGCAUGAACAAUAAAAUAAAAGGAAAUAUUAGAAAAAUGCAAAAAGAAAUCGAUUUUUUUACAUGGAAGAUGUUUUAGUGCGUGGAGUUCAUGCCAAACUUCAGCUCAUUUCGAUAUCUGAGCAGCUCUCUGCAGAAAAAAAAAUACAAAAAUGUGUCUGUUAAAAAGUUUACUGUUCAUGCACUUUCGUGACCGAUUUCUUUUUUUUCCUAAGAGUUGCUCCUAUGUCCAAAUACUCUAAAAUUUGGCAUGAACCUCAUGCACUAAAAUAUAUCCCUUGAAAAAAUAGAAUUUUGUUGAAUUUGACUAGUAUUUUUUUGAAAUUUUACUGUUCACCCAUAUCAAAUGAGCUCUGAACCCAAAAUAAUGGACAUUUGGUUUCUUUCCUUUAUUAAUUACAAGCAGACCCUCGCUCGCUGUUCACCCAUAGUACUAUUAAUCUGCGUUUUUUAAUCUGAACACACUCCACUCUAUUGAUCAUUAAACAAAUUGAACAGGAGCUACAUGAGGCUGUCCCAACUGUUUCUUCGGUUUACUGAACUCAAGUUCUAUUAUAUAUCUUUUGACAAAACCGUUCAUGACCAGAGGCCCCUGAAAUAUUUGGUCAUAUAGAGCCUUUCUGCGUGUGUGCCAAAUUGCCCAAAGUGUCACAAGUUGCUUGGUGAAAUCUGCAUGUGGUAAGUCCUCCAUGAGAGAAAAUAUUAAUCGCUUCGUGUUAGAGUACGUAAUGGGCCUAAUGGCCUGGGCUGACGGUAUAGCCCGUUAGUUUUAGGGUUAAUUAGAGAUAAGGGUCGCUUUUUUAGGGGUCAAGUAAGCCUUGCUUGAGAGUCAAGUAAACCUCUCUAUAUAAAGAGAGGAGAUGUAUCAAUCUAAUCAAGCAAGAAUUAAGAAGGAAAUCCCUUCCAUCUUGCCCGGUCGUGGGCCAAAGGCCCCCCGGCCGGCCCUUUCGCGCCUUUUUUCUAGCAGCGCCAUAACAAUUUGAUAUCAGCUAGCUUCGGUUCGAUCAUAUCUUCACCGCCACCCAACUCGUCUCUUCCGCUGCCGGUCAGGACCGUCGCCCCGCUCCUGCCCGCGUCGGGAUCCUCCGUCGCGCCCGCCCCUGUCGUCCUCACCCCGGAGGUGUCCGGGGCGCUGCGGGACCUAACACAGGCGGUCCAGGAGAUCCGCCUGUUCUUGGCCGGGUCCUAUGGGCCGCACCCGGCUGCGCCGCCCAUCACCGCCACCGCGCCGCCGUGGCUGCCGUGGCAGCCGCCGCACCAAGCGGCCCCCGCCGCGCUCGCCGGACCGCUGCAGCUGCCAUCCAUCGCCCCGUCCUGGCCGUCGUGGCAGCCGCCGCACCAGGCGGCCUCCGCCGCGCUCGUCGGGCUGCUGCAGCAGCCGCUGCAACUGCCAUCCACCGCCACCACCGCCCCGUCCUGGCUACCGUGGCUGCCGCACCAGGUGGCCUCCGCCGCGCUCAUCGGGCCGCUGCAGCAGCUGCCAUCCACCGCCCCGCCCUGGCUGCAGUGGCAGCCACCGCUCCUGGCGACCUCCGCCGUGCCUGGCGCUCUGCCGCAGCAGCCGCUGCAACUGUAGCAGCCAUCACCGGUCAGCUCCGGCCCCACAUCGACCGCGCCGACGGGAGUCCCUAUCCACCAGAUCAAGUUCCCGUCGUCGCCAUCACCGCUUCCUCAGGGCGUCCCCAUCCAACAGAUCAAGCUUCCGUCGUCGCCGUCACCGCUUCCGGUUUGGAUCACUACCCGCCACGUGUCGGCGACGGUGAGGCUGCAGGCUGCUGCACGCGGCCUCCUAGCGCGUCGGCGUGUGCGGGAGUUGCGUGGUCUGCAACUGCCGUUCCUCCCAGUUGCGCUUCGCUGCGCAAAGGACCUCGAUCUCGUCCACUGCGUCGGGGAUCUUGGGCAUGCUGUUUUCCCCACGGACAACGCCCUCAAAGUCUACAACAUCAGCGGUUGGGGAGGCGCACCCCUCCUCGCCAUUGUCCAUCGACAACCCUCCACUCUUCUAUGUGCGGUGCCGACCAACAGCCGUCCGGCGGGGAGAAGGCAUGGUGUCACCGACAAGAGCGCACCGCGUAGCACCACUGCAUUCCGCCGCCGGCCGCCGCGAGGGCGCCUCUGCUGGUCGCUCUUGCGACCACUUCCAGGUGGCCAUACACAUGCACUCCUUUUGUCCAGAUGGUGCCUAUGGGAUCCAGGUGGCUGUACACGUACACGUCCGACGUGCGGAUGGUAUCCACUUUUUGUUAAGAGGUCCAAAAUAAAUCAUCCCAGUCCAUUUCAGGUUGAGAGUAAUAAAACAAGCCGAGAUGUAAAAGGCUUGUUUUUAGGUGUUAGGUUUGUGUUGCCUCGAGUCAUGGUUAUAAGUUGGUUAGGCUGCAGCUUGAGGACAAGCUGCAUGUCCAGGUGGGGUGUAGUGUUAGAGUACGUAAUGGGCCUAAUGGCCUGGGCUGGCGGUAUAGCCCGUUAGUCUUAGGGUUAAUUAGAGAUAAGGGUCGCUUUCUUAGGGGUCAAGUAAGCCUUGCUUGGGAGUCAAGUAAACCUCUUUAUAUAAAGAGAGAAGAUGUAUCAAUCUAAUCAAGCAAGAAUUAAGAAGGAAAUCCCUUCCAUCUUGCCCGGCCGUGGGCAAAAGGCCCCCCGGCCGGCCCUCUCGCGCCCUCCUUCUAGCAGCGUCAUAACACUUCGCAUCAGGUUCUCUGUUCUUCAUAAUUACUCCCACCAAGUCUUCAUCCUCAAGCGCCCCCAAACGCAACGUGCCAUGUUAUACUUAAUCAAAGAGUGUCGUCAAGAAUCCGGUGUCCCAAAUAGUCCGCACACUGCUUGAGAGUCGCCAUGUUUCGGCGGUGUAACAAAUUUGCCGUAGGCAGGGCUUGCUGAGCUAGCCUCCAGAGAAAGAUUUUUAUGUUGGAAGGGACAUCAAUUUUCCACAUAUUUGUCCAUGCUUUCAUCUCACCAUCAGCAUGAGAGUUGUCAGCGCGUCCUUCCAGCCAUGUGCAAUCAUAUCACUCAAUUCCCUCAAGGCCAUGAGCUGUCCGAACCUGCAGUUUCUGUCACUACAGCAGAACUUUCGGCUGAAGGUGAUACCACCAUCUUUUUUAAACGGCAUAUUAUCCGUGACCUACUUGGAUUUGUCUUGGGUUCCCAUCAAGGAUCUUCCAGAAGAAAUUGGCAGGCCGACUGAAUUGCAGUGUUUCAAACUGAAGCAAACACACAUUAAACUAUUGCCUGUAGCUAUUGGGCAAUUAAGAAAGUUGAGGUUCUUGGACUUGAGCUAUAUGGAUUUCUUGGAGAAGAUACCUUAUGGUGUUCUUACAAAUUUGUCAAUGCUACAAGUUUUAAACCUAUAUGGCAGCAGGUAUGCCGGACGUGAAUCAGAUUUUGAUUCAGAGAACCACAUGGGUUAUGAUGAGUUUAGAAUCGAAGAGUACCACAUGGGUUAUGAUGAGUUUAGAAUCGAAGAGUUAUCAGGAUUAACUAGAGAACUAAAAGUUCUAGGAAUAACAACAAAGAAAAUGAGUACCCUGCAGAGGCUUUUUGGAAUACCUGGAAUCCGCUUGAGAUGCCUUGGUUUAUAUGAAUUGAAUGGAGAGAGGUCUCUUACUCUUAAUUUACCGGAAAGUAUCGUUAUUCUGAAUGUAAUGGGCUGUUCUGAUUUGAAGAACUUAUGCAUUGUUAACAACUAACAAGCCACAGAGUUAUGGAGAACGCCUUUCGAGGCUGGAGUUUCUCACCUUUUGGGAUCUUCCUGGACUUGAGAAGAUUAGCAUGGGACAUUUUCAGAACCUUCGUGAGCUUACUGUGGGGAGAACUUAUCAAUUGGUAGACCUGUCCUUCAUUUUAAAACUACCAUAUCUGGAGCAUUUUGAAUGUGUCUUGGUGCGAUAAAAUGAAGCAUUUAGUUGAUCUAGAGAAUGUUAUUAACUUGGAAGAAAGAUAUGAAAUACCUAUUCAGGGAUUUCGUCAACUAAGAAUUUUGCAGUUAAAUUCAUUGCGAAGCUUGGGCAGAUUAUGUAAAUAAUCCUAAAUUGGAUUUUCCUUCUUUGGAAUACAUUGAUGUGUUUGGUUGCCCGAAGAUGAAGAAACUACCUUUUGGGCAAAUGGGUAAACUGAAGAGGAUCAGAGGGGAGCAAACAUGGUGGGAUAAUCUCGAGUGGGACGACGAAAGCAGUUCCUUGUCACUGUUGCCGUUUUUUAAAUCAUCAGAAAUUUGCUCGGCGUCCUUUAGGCCAGAGCUAGAUACUACUGUGAUAUCCUCCUCGCCGAAAGCUUUCUUCACCAAGAGGCGGCCCAUAUUGAAUUCAUCAAUACGGUUCACAUCAUAUCCGCAAUCAUUUUUUGAAACAGAGGAGUUUGAUGGGCAUAUGACGAUGGAAUAGUUUCACCAAUAUCAUCUCUCAGUACUUCUCCAGAGCAACACAUUGCCUUUCAAUAGCUGCUCAAGGUACGCCACUUUUAUACAGCAUAGGUCGAUCAAUUUUUUCAAUAUUAGCCAUAUGCAGUCACGCUGCUAUGUUCUUUUAUCUUCUGACUCUAGUUUCAUCGUCAUUUUUGUUUGUUUGAUGGAUUAUACGAAAUGCAAGGUGUGCCUUUUGAGUAAAGCUUACCGUUAGUCACUGAAGUGUUCGUCUAGAUGAUAUGUUGUUUAAUACGAGUCUUGUAAAUAAAUUAGAAUCCCUUGGACCAAGGCAGGUGUGUGUUUGACAUUGUUCUAGUUUUUUGUCUUUAUCCCUUUCAUUCGAAGUCUUGUUAAGCAUCUGAAGCUAUCACUGCUUUUGCAUGACCAUUGUGAGUUGUGAAUAGUGUCUGGAUGGGACUCUGGUUUGUUUAUGCUAGAAGUGAAGAUCCUAUGCAUUACUUUUCAUCAUCUGAGGACUGGUGGUGAUUGUUUUUUAGUUCUUUUCCUGUGAUUUAGGUGUCAACUUUUUCUCUAUUGCCAAGUUUUGGCCUGCUUAUAACAGCCAUACUGCAUUAAAUUCUGUUUGUGCCUGUGUGUUAUGGAGCAUGUGGAAACAUAGAAAUUCUCAUGUACCUAGGAUUGACUUGAAGCAGAUAUGGUGGCUGGUCCUUGGGACAAUGAGAAAAUGGAAAAUCCUCUUCAAGGAAGAUGCUCUGUUAAAAGUGGAGGAAUUCUCUCAGAGAGUGUCCUGUGUACUCGAGACCCCUUUCCAGAUUACUGUGGGGUGAAAGCUGUUGACAGAAACACUGAGAGGGUGUUUUCAGUCAAGUGCUGCUCACCAAACUGAAUCUGGGAGGAACUCCUGUUGACAAUAGCGCAUUGCUGGCUCCUACCUCACCUCCAAGAAGCUCUUAGGGAAGUGGUUCAUCAAGCAUACGAUACCCAGCCCAAUCACGGCGCUAGAGCUGCCUUGCUCUCCGGUCCAGCAGAAGAAGAAACUCAGAGGCCCUGGGGUGACGCAUAUCUAUGCUGGCAAGGUGGAGAUGAUCGCUGGACUACAGAAUGUGCAUGACUCCUGGCUGCCUGAGUAGAGUCUCCCUAAAGUGCUCUGUUUUCGAGUGGUUGCUGCAUCUGUAAUAAAAUUAGAUGGAUUGUGACUUUGACAUUUCCUUGUAGCUUUUGCUGGACAUGCUCUGCAUGAUGCAGCGGUUGCUCUGGUUUCAUUCAUGAAAUGGAAUCGGGGGGCCGUUUGCCCUCCUGAUAGUCUAAAAUGUCGUUACGACAUGUAAGGUGCGGCAUUUGAGUUAUAGCUGGUCAAACGGACCGUGUCAACCAGGCCAGCCCGCGAGCACGCCGGCACGGCCCGCCAUGGGCCAGGCACGGCACGGGCUAAAUCGGCCAUGCCCGGCACGCGGCAUGCCUUGGGACGUGCAUGGGCCUGGAGGCUGGGCACGCCGGCCGGCACGGCAUGGCUCGUUUUUUUUUAGAUAUACCCACACGUAAAAUACAGCCCAAUAGGCCUAGAAAUCAGCCCAAUAGGCUGAAAAUGUACAGCCCUACAUGCUAAACAGGCCAACGGGCCGGCCCGUUUACUAAAUAGGCCCUGCCUAGGCUUGGAGACGGCCUGCUUACUAAACGUGCCUCUGUAGGCCGGGCCGGGCCUGGCACGAUUUGCAUGGGCCGGGCCGGGCGUGCUAGGCCGACCCGUUUGGCCAGGUCUGAUUUGAGUAAAGCUUACCAUUAUUGUUGAGGCCGUGAAGCGUAAACGACAUGUUCUUUAAUAUGAACCUUCUAAAUAAAUUAGCAUCCCUUUCAUUCGAAGUCUUGUUAGUCAUCUGAAGCUACCUGUGCUUUUCCAUGAUCAUUGUGAGUUGUGAAUAGUGGUUGGGUGUUGCUCUGGUCCAUGCUUGCAGUGAAGUGAAUAUGUCCCGCGCAUUACUUUUCAUCAUCUGAGCACUGGUGCUGAACACGGUCAAACAAAAUAAGUGUUUUUUUUUUUAAUUUCAGGCUGUUAGCAAAUUGUGUGCUGUUCACCUUGCUUAGCCCAGUAAGUGACUGCAUUCUAACACAAGACAUUUCUGCUGCUCACAAACAAGUACAGUACUAGGAUAUAAUUCCAUGUAGUCUGAUCUUUAUGUUCAAUGCGCAGAUGGCAAAGGUCUCGCUACAUUGGUCGUCCACGGAAUCAAUCGCGAUUUUCCAUGGCCCCCCUGAUCGACCGAACCGGAAGGAAGCUUGAUCAGGACGACCAGCGCCGGAACCUGAGAAAGCGUAGAAACAUCCGCCACCGUUUGCGCGACCUGAAAGCGUAGACACCGAUCAACGGAUAAAGCAAACUGCUUGCCAAGUUGCCAUGGAUCAGGCGCAAGAACAAGAUGAUGCUGUCGACUCUGAAGAAACUGAAAAUGAUGUGUGCCAGCGGAGCUGGGAAGCUGAAGGGCGAGUCAUCCAACAAACUGUGAGUUGGGAAUAGUGGUUGGAUUGGAUGGAGCUCUUGUUUACGCUAGAAGUUAAUUACUAGUACUAAUAUGCAUUACUUUUCAUCGUCUGAUGAAUGAUGGUGAACAGGAUCAAACAAAUAACAAAAUAGUAUUCUUUUUAUUGUCGGUCGCGCUAUCAGCGAUGAACAAGUUAUGAAUAGGAUAAUUCCAUGUAGCUAGUCUGGACUCAGUCAGGCCAGAGAAAUUCAACUGGCCGGCAGUGGUUCUAACUUGUAAGACUAAUAAGUGUUCAUGUUCCAUGCGCAGAUGCCAAAGCUCUGGUUUGAUUACGUUGAGCGUUGGCUGAGUCGCAGCUUGAUUCUCUACGGCCUCCUGACUGAACCCGAUCGAUCACGACAACCACGGCUGGCUGGAACCUGAGAAAGUGUAGUAGAUUCGUCACCACACUUCAAAUCGAUAGACGAACAAAGCAAAGGAAGCGUUCGUCAUUCAUGAGGCACAAGAUAUGAUGAUGGAUGCCGUGCCACCCAGUGUGUCAACUCUGAAGAAACUGAUAACGAGCUAGGUGUGAUGGGCAUCAGGUGCAAAGAUGAUGAUGCCAUGCCUGCCUGCCUGCCACCGGGACUUGACCCUGAAGAAACUGAAAAUGAGGUGCCGACCAAGGAUUCACCCACACAGGGGGAGAUGGGAAGCUGAGGGACGUCGUCGGCGUCGGUAUGGUAUUUUCAACCGGGAUCUGCCGUGUUGCGGCUGAAGAAAUAGGCCUCUGAACCUAACGUGCCUUCCUAUUCCUCUGCCCCAACUUGCAGCAUGUUUAACCGUUGGCUGUACGGCUCGCUAUGCAAUACACAUGGCAUGGGACCAACAAUUUUUCAGACUUCUCUUUUGGCACCAUAUAUAGGCCGAUAGAGACUGAAGAAUGUUCUCUUUCUUUUCCAGUAAAAGAAUAGCCACUUAGAAUCAGCAAAGCCAUACUUUUCAUUCUUCUAGAAAAGUUUGAGUGAAUCCAGUUCCGUUGGUUUGCCCCAACAUUUUUCAUCCAAAUUAAUGGGACUUUCAAGAACGAAGACUUGCUUCCGCCCGUUGUCAUUACAUCAAUCAAUCAUCAACAAAACUAAUGGGACUGUACACAUCAUAACAAAACGGUAGUGCGAACCAACCUUUGGUUGAGAUGGUUAGGUGGACAGUGGUAUCCCCAACCCACCAGGGUUCAAAUCCUGGUGCUCGCAUUAUUCCUGGAUUUAUUUCAGGAUUUCCGGCGAUGCGCUUUGUCAGGACCCCGACUCAAUGUCACAUCGAUCUAGCAUGUAACACCUCAUAUCACUUUGCGGCCUCACGCACGGUAUUCCCACGGGUGUCGCCUUACCUUUGCCCGGGACCGUUUGCGUCUUUUGGCACACGUAUAUGAUAGUGUCGCUAGCAUCCAUAUGAUAAGGAGCCCGGGCUGACAUGGCUAGUCGUAAACCCAAAGUGGCCCAAACUUACAGGGACAGGCAUCCAUGACCCAACAUCGAACGUGUCGGUCAUCAGCGAGUGAAUCCAGGCUGUAGCACUGGGCUAGCAGGACUCCGGUGAACCGGGCUGUAGCGGGCUAACACGACUCCGGUAUUCAUCGCGUGACAUUUCCCCGAAGGGACAGACACAGGAACGAAGAAGGACACAUGCCGGCCAGCCUAAGUGUUCCGGAGCAGUAGCAAGCUACCAUGGCUCAGUGGAAACACUAGGAGACAUUUCCCGGUAAGAGAGGCUACUAAGGAUAAACAACUAGAUAGCCAGAUCCCACACAUACCAAGCAUUUCAAUAACAUACACACAAUAUGCUUGAUAUGUGUAAAUACAACAUGGCAUCACAACAUGACUCUACGACUCAAGUAUUUAUUCAUUAGGCUCCGAGGAGCGAGAUAUUACAAACAUGGGUCUCAUGACCCAACAAUCAGAGCAUACAAAUCAAAGCACAAGCGGAAGCUAUCAUGUCUGGGUACAGACAUCUAUAACUGAAAAGGGCUGAGAAGCCUGACUAUCUACCAGAUCCUGCCGGGGCACAAGAUCGUAGCUGAGGUAACAAGCUAAACGUCGAAGUCCACGCGAAACUACUAGUGAGACCGAAGUCUCUCUGCAAAAACAUAAAAUAGGCAAACGUGAGUACAAAUGUACCCAGCAAGACUUACAUCAGAACUAACUACAUAUGCAUCAUUAUCAACAAAGGGGGUGGUGGGGUUUAACUGCAGCAAGCCAGCUUUGACUCGGUGGCUAUCCUGAACUACGACUGCAAUGUAACUCUUUUGAGGUGGCGCACACAAGUCCACAUAUUCCCCAUAUCAAUACACCACUAUGGAUCCGCUCCCGUCUCCCUACGAGAACGCCAUCCAUAGCACUCACGCUUAUCUUGCGUAUUUUAGAGUAUCCACUUUCACUUGUCUAUGAACUGAUAUAAGCAACCCAGAAGUCCUUUACCGCGGACACGGCUAUUCGAAUAGAUGAUGUUAACCCUGCAGGGGUGUACUUCUUCAUACAUGUUUCCACCACUUAGCGUCUGCACACGACAUGUGCUCGGCAGACUUCAAGCGAAAGCCGACGUGGGUGUAGACCACGACCUACCUAAACACCUAAGUCUCUAGUCCAGAUUUAUCGCCUAUUCGGGUUCCAUCCAUGAGGACAUCCGGCCGGAGUUUCGCUCACAGCCCCAAACGAUGUGAACAGGGUUCCCGAGAUACCAAAUGGGCAUCCGGUACACCGUGCCACGUACCUACCGCAUCACAGCCCACCCCUACGGUCAGAGCUGUCCACGGCCUCCAGUAAGCUACAAACACCAGAAACUACUUGCAACUCCUGGACAGAGGACUAGGGUGAAUAAGAAGUCGAGCGGGGUCAUAUUUCAGGGCCCAAUGUAUGGUAGUAGCUGAAUCAUGGAUCACAAACACAGAACUCAGUUCCUGAGGACGGCUUCAAUGAGACAACCCACCAUGUACUCCUACAUGGCCUCUCACCGCUACCUUUACCAAAUCGUGUUCACACACCUAGCUCACACACAGUAGGACAUGUUCACACGCCUCUGAUUCAUCCCCGAUGAAUCAGACCUGACUCAACUCUAAGCAGUAGCAGGCAUGACAAACAAGCAUGAAUGAGUAGGCACAUCAGGGCUCAAACAACUCCUACUCAUGCUAGUGGGUUUCAUCUAUUUAUUGUGGCAAUGACAGGUCAUGCAAAGGAUAAAGGGGUUCAGCUACCGCAGCAAGUAACAGAUGAAUCGGUGUUGUCCUAAUGCAGUAAAAGAGAGCAGGAGCGAGAGAGUAGGAUUGUAUCGGAAUGAACAAGGGGGUUUUUGCUUGCCUGGCACUUCUGAAGAUAACAUUGAGUCUUCAUCAGUGUCAACGAUCACAUCAUCGGUAUCACGUCUAUCGAGAGGGGACAAAUACCGGCAACACAGAAGGGAACACAAUCAAUGCAAUGCACAAUAUGAUGCAUGAUCAUGACAUGGCAAAAUGAAUGUGUUUUGGGCUAAUGCAACUAGCAACAGAUUAAAUGAAGUUGGUUUGAAUACAAGAUUCAAAUUCAAACUCCAUAUGUGAUUAUUCAAAUGCCAUUUAAUUGAUUUGUGCUAAACAGCAGCUAUAAGUUGUUCUAACAUGCAUGAAAAUGGUACAGAUGGAUUCCUUGAAUUUUUCUGAUAAUUUUUCAUAUAUAAUUUAUUUAAUUUGGAGUUACGGUUAAUUUUCUAUGAAUUUUAGAAGUUUUGGUUAUUAUCUGAAAUUUAUAAAUCAUUUUUGAUUUAUUUUAAUUCCAGAAACAUUUACUGCAUCAGCAGUGCGUCACUGUGACGUCAGCAAGUCAACAGGGGUCGGUCAGGGUCAAACCUGACGUGUGGGGGCCACACGUCAGUGACACGGGGUUGUUUUAAACUCACUGACAGGUGGGACCGGUCAACGGCCACGUCAGCUAGGUCAAAUCCGACGCGUGGGGCCACUGUGGUUAACUUAAACUAAACAGGGGGUUAACCGUGGUUAGUUAAGGGCGUGGGGCCCAUAUGUCAGUGAGAGAUAGGGCUGUUAGCAGGGUCAUUAGCGACUAAGUAAGUGCGCCACGUCGGCGUCACCGGAGACCAGCCGGCGGCGACCAAACCCGGAGCGGCAACACGCCGGAGUUGCUCGGGUUUCGCGUACAGACAGCGGUUUGAGCCGCGGUUGAUCUCUACGGACGCGUCGUGGUGAGGCGCGUCGUUUGGUAGCAGCGGGAGGUGCUGAGGUGGUCGGAAUCAGCAACGACGGUGAGCGAGGCGGCGGCCGGAGCUCGGGUGGGUGCGGGGUUAGCGCUGCGGCUUGCAAACGAGCUAGCUGCCACGCUAGUGUUGCUCCACGGGUCGUUGCGAGUGCAACGGACGCACGCGCGGGGCCAUUUGGUCACCGGGGCUUCGCCCGCGACGAGCCCGCGCGGCGACGGCUACGGUAAGCAAGGGGGCGGCGGCUACGGCAAACAAACGAAGGCGGGAUUAGGGGGAAGAGGACCGGGGGCUCACCACGGUCACGAAGAGAUGCUCGGCGAGGUCGGGGACGGUCCGGAGCCGGCGAAUUUGAUGAAGAUGGCCGGCGGGUCCGAGGUAGAAGACGACGGCGAUGGCGGCGAUGCAGGGCUUCCGGAGGGCUGUGGAUCGGUGGGGAGGAAGAGGGGGUCGAGGCGGAGCUCCUGGGUGCAUCGGCGAGGCUAGGGGUGGCCGGUGGCCGCGGCGAACGGCGUCGGUGGCGACGGGGCUCCGCUCGGUGGAGGAGAGAGGGAGCCAAGGAAAGGGGGAGAUGAUGGGAGAGGUCGAGGGGUUCCAGGGGGUCGGGGCAUCGUGGUGGCGUGAGGGGGAGGCUCGGGAACGCCUCGGUGGAAGCAGGAGGUGGCCGAGGCGGCAUCGGCGCUCGCCACCGAGCUGCUUCGGUGCGAGGGGAGGAAGAUGACAAGGGGGAGGAGGUGGGCUGGGCCGGCCAGGUGGGGGAGCUGGGCCGGCUGGUGGGCUGCACGGGUGAGGCCAGGUAGGCUUUACUCUUUUUAUUUUUUUUCUGUUCUGUUUCUUUUAUUUAAUAUCUUUUGCCAUUGUUUGAAUUUAAACAAAUUCAAACAAUGCCAAAAACUCCUCUGAAUAUUUUUAUUUUGCUAGAUGGACUUUUCCAAAAGCUCAUAAAAUAUUUCAGGGGUAUUUGAAAUUAUAUUCUAAUUAUAUGAAUAUAAUUCAAAUUCAAAUAGCUAAUGAUUUAAAUUCAAAGUCCCAAAAAUAAAUCCUUAAAAAUGUUCAAUAUUUUGGUUGGGACCAGAACCCUUACCAAAAAUUAUCAAACAUUUAAGAAGAGCCUUUUGGAGCAAUGAAUGAGAUUUCUAGGGUUUUUGCCCCUCUUUUAUUUAGGGUUUUGAGGCUUCCAAUAUUCCUCAAUUCAAGUUUCAAAAAUAUAGACAUGAUGCACACAUGAAGCUAACCUAGAGCAAUGCCAGAAGCUAGGGAUGUGACAACUCACCCCCACUAAACAAGAAUCUCGUCUCGAGAUUCAAGCGUAGGGUAAGGUGAAGGGGGAACGCAACUGGUACAAUCUUCACGAUCCAGGUUGCACUUCAUAGGAACGUUGAUUCGAUCACCAUUAUUGUCUUGUCGUUUUGCUCUGAGAAAUCCUGUCAACAUGACAUGGAGGGAAGAGGGAGACUCUAGAAGGGUCGAUCUUCUCGAAGAUCGAACAACUCACGGAAUGAGACAUAGGACCAUCUCUCGGGUGGAGACACGAGAUACACAUCAAGAGGGGUGGAAAGAAGCGGAUGACGGAGGUUCACUAGGUAGACAACAAUUCCACACCUAAGAAGGUGGUAAACGAUUGUCAACGUAGCGAGGAGUUGAGUUGACAUGACACCAUAAUGAUGCACCUUAGGGAAGGUGACUCGAAGAUAUAUCCCCUUAAGUGGCAAAAAGAAUUACCUUUGAUAUAGAGAUCAUUGAGACUCUCUAUAUCAGCCUAAGGCAAAUCACAGCAAUCGAUUGGCGGGGGUCGGUAGAAUGGCAUACUCGGACUUGGAUGAUGUGGAUUACCUUGUUGAAGACGACGUAAUGGAUGAAUUUGCUUACCACCGGAAAUGGAAGAGACCCAUGGUAGAAUGGCACAUUGGCGGUGCAAGCUAGGAACAAAAUGCAAAUGCUGGGAAUGAUUCUGGUAACUGGGGAAGAACCCAACAACAGAGAGUGAAUUCACUGUUUGAAAAGAUCAUAGCAUUGCCGAGGAAGCUGAGAGGAAUCCCAGUUAGUGCCGAUGAUAACUCGUAGCGCUUGUGCGUGCUCUCAAGAACUUGAGCAUUUCCAUAUUCAUCAAGGUUUUACCAACAUCCGUGUCAAGGGUCCGGUAACACAACUUGCUACCACGAUGAAUGAUGAUGGAUGAUGCAGAUGCAAAGGAAGAUAACACUUCUCAUAUUACACCUUAGCGAAGCCAAGGAACAAAAUCUGGAUGAUCGACCGAGAGACAUUUAGCACUCCGUUUCUAAUGUUCUCCUUGAUGUGCUAGUGUAUCCCAUUCAUAGAUAUGGUUUGAUAACUAGAACAUCAAGUAAAAGGUCGGACUUCGGGAGCAAUAGAAUCCAUAAGGAACAGUUACGGAGGUAAAUCCUACGAAAUCCUUAUGGGGAGGUGGCCAACUUCUUCAAUCAAGAUACUACAAUAAUAGGUCUUUCGGUUGGGUGGUGCUGGCCACGACAUCCACUUUACCAGUUAUCGAGGAACCAAUAUUAUAGUUCUUGGGGAAAUGUUCCAACCAUCGUAUCUGCCUGAGAUUCAGAUCUGGUUGGUGUCAGGAUAUUUCAGACUCAUCGAGUCUAGGAAAAAAAAUGAAGGUUUGCAACACAAAUCGACGAGAUGACGUUGCGGGAUUCUCGGGAGAUGAACUACGGUAGCAAGCUCCAAAACAUGAGCUGGUUCUGCUACUAACAUGUGAACACGUUGUCCCAGACAAGCAUGACCACAUAGUAGUCUUAUAAUAAAACACUACCGAGUUCAGGAGGGGGAACCAUCAACGAGGGUAUCGAAGUCCUUACAUAAGUCCGGAUUAGCUCUUAUGAAGGAACUCCUUCUCCUUGAACAAAUCAACUAGUGGCUUGGUGUGCUAGGGAUACAUAUAGAUUGAAGGUUGCAAGUCUUCAAACCACAGCAUUCUUCGCACGUGUGCAUGACUGAUUUGGAAUGAUUCCAAAGAAAGCAACAUUGACUUUCUCGAAUCCACGGCGGCAACUUGCAUCAGAUGCACAUGAAUUAAAGGAAGUCACUACCUUCAUCCAAACAUAUGCUUCAUGAGCUAGCAUGAACAAAUGUUUUCAAAAAUUUCCAACACUAGCUUAAUGCUCAACAAAAUCAUGGAGGAGAUAAGGAUGUUGUCAAUGGGCUCAACAACAAUUCAUCCGGGUUUCCUUUUAAAAGGAAUUCCAUAGUUAAGUGAACACGGUGAUAGCAUUGGUCAGACCAAAGAUGUAAUGGUGUAUGCUCGAGGGAUCAACCACGAAUAAGACAACAUUACGAGCAUCGUUGGUACUGAUUUGAUUUGACGAUGGCCCACACUCAAAUCAAAGGAUUGAUAAGACAAUAGGUCCAACAACUGAUCACAGGGACCAAUCGAUGAAGAUAUCAUCUUUCUUCAACACACACUACACAAGGAUAUCCCUUUGGAACGAACUAAGUCAGGCAAGCUUUUAUCUUCCAACUCUCCAAGUUGUUGUCUAGCUUAACCAACUAGCUCAGGGGUAUCCAACACCGAUUCUUGGAGAGAAAGUGGUUCACAAGAAACCAACUUGAUCACGAGCUCAACAUAACAGUCAGGUGACAGCCUGGUGAUACUUUCAAGAAGAUAUUCGGAACAUCACGAACCACCGAUAUGUUACUAAGCUCGAGAACAAUCUCGCUUUUGAGGGCAAGACGAUAUGAUCAAAUGAGUGAGGACUUGACAAGAUCCUAACUCAUCAAUCGAAUGGUGCACCGAAAUAAGGACUAGGUAGCACGAUAAGUCUUAGAAGGAUGAUUCAAAAACCAACAUGCUAAGAAUGAAAUUAUUAUCCUUUAACUACCAAGCAACGAGGUUGCUGGGAGUAUUGAUUUCACACAUCACAAUUCAUUUGUCGGUAUUCCGGUUGCAUCAACACGAGGGCCGAGGAAUGACUAAUGAUGGUGAGAAGUAUCACUGUACCAAGAGUUCAUAGGAUGGUGUGCAAUUCCUAUAACAAUCUCGAUAUAGAAUAAGGUAAUACUCCAAGGUAGAACAGAACCAAAAGCUGGAUUGGCAUUUGAUCUGCGGAAUACAACUACUUUGACCCAAUCCUAGAUAUGGACGAGGUACUGGAGUUUGUUUCUCCAAGUCAUUCAGGACAGAAUGGCUUGACGGACCACAAGAGUAAUAGGCAUCGAUAAACGAACACACGCAUACUCUUGACUAUCAAUUGAUAGACGGAGGUCAGAAUGCAACUAAAGAGAACAACUCAAAGGAACAUAUAAUUUUCUGAGUUGUGGAUGCAUAGAUUAGUAUGUCGAACCAAGUUCAACAUAUUUCUUCCGGAUAACCCAUGCGGAAAGGUAGAACUGGCAGAGCCACAAUAUAUAAUGGAGAACUCAUCAAAAAUAAUACUGUUGUGAUAUUUCAGUUCAACGAGGAACUUCUGCCAUAAGUAGUUCAUGGUAUCUGGAAGAAGAAGAUACCACGGACUUCAAGGACUAUCGCAAAGGUUACUAAUAUCCUAAAGGCGCUAGCAAUUACUAUCAACAUGAAGUAAGUAGAGUGAAUCUCGGGUUCAAGAACCCAGGAAUAGAAUACCUACUACUAAGUAGCAUCACGGGAUGCUUUCGAGAAUGAUGGCCAGAAUCAUCACACUGGGAACACAAAUCAUGGCUAAAUUACUAGAUGAUCCCCUAAGACACCUAGGGUCAUAAUAAUAUCUCCAACAUAUAUGUCAAGGUAACGGAGUACCUCAAUUCACUGAUUAGUGUGGUUAAUCUGGCCCAUGGGAACAUUGAAACGGGAAGAAAAGGAUUUGCAAAUGCAUCCGACUAUUUAGAAACCUGGGAUGACUCGGACAGCAUAACGGCUGUAAAUGCUCAGAAAAGAUUUGAGACAUUCACAAAAAUGGUGGCAUAACCACUCAGAAACACAAUAUCAAGGUUUCGAGAUCAACAAUUAACGUACGGAAGUAGAAGAAACUGAACUCAAGCUUAAAUCCAACAAUCUAUAAGUCUACGGAUUAGUACACGUGAUCCUGAUAGAAAGAAGAGAUAGCCUAGUUCUUAAUCCCCGCAGAAAAGAUAAGAUGACUUAGAUCAGAAGGCAUAAGGUAUAAGGAGUAAAAAGAGCCUUACGUUCCAUCCCACAAUCAAUUCCCUUAUAUAACUAAAGAAUUUCUAGACUCAACUUCGACCAGUUUGGCUUGGUAAUCCUACAGGUAGUCAAGCUCUGAUACCAACGCUGUCAGGACCCCGACUCAAUGCCACAUCGAUCUAGCAUGUAACACCUCAUAUCACUUUGCGGCCUCACGCACGGUAUUCCCACGGGUGUCGCCUUACCUUUGCCCGGGACCGUUUGCGUCUUUUGGCACACGUAUAUGAUAGUGUCGCUAGCAUCCAUAUGAUAAGGAGCCCGGGCUGACAUGGCUAGUCGUAAACCCAAAGUGGCCCAAACUUACAGGGACAGGCAUCCAUGACCCAACAUCGAACGUGUCGGUCAUCAGCGAGUGAAUCCAGGCUGUAGCACUGGGCUAGCAGGACUCCGGUGAACCGGGCUGUAGCGGGCUAACAGGACUCCGGUAUUCAUCGCGUGACAUUUCCCCGAAGGGACAGACACAGGAACGAAGAAGGACACAUGCCGGCCAGCCUAAGUGUUCCGGAGCAGUAGCAAGCUACCAUGGCUCAGUGGAAACACUAGGAGACAUUUCCCGGUAAGAGAGGCUACUAAGGAUAACAACUAGAUAGCCAGAUCCCACACAUACCAAGCAUUUCAAUAACAUACACACAAUAUGCUUGAUAUGUGCAAAUACAACAUGGCAUCACAACAUGACUCUACGACUCAAGUAUUUAUUCAUUAGGCUCCGAGGAGCGAGAUAUUACAAACAUGGGUCUCAUGACCCAACAAUCAGAGCAUACAAAUCAAAGCACAAGCGGAAGCUAUCAUGUCUGGGUACAGACAUCUAUAACUGAAAAGGGCUGAGAAGCCUGACUAUCUACCAGAUCCUGCCGGGGCACAAGAUCGUAGCUGAGGUAACAAGCUAAACGUCGAAGUCCACGCGAAACUACUAGUGAGACCGAAGUCUCUCUGCAAAAACAUAAAAUAGGCAAACGUGAGUACAAAUGUACCCAGCAAGACUUACAUCAGAACUAACUACAUAUGCAUCAUUAUCAACAAAGGGGGUGGUGGGGUUUAACUGCAGCAAGCCAGCUUUGACUCGGUGGCUAUCCUGAACUACGACUGCAAUGUAACUCUUUUGAGGUGGCGCACACAAGUCCACAUAUUCCCCAUAUCAAUACACCACUAUGGAUCCGCUCCCGUCUCCCUACGAGAACGCCAUCCAUAGCACUCACGCUUAUCUUGCGUAUUUUAGAGUAUCCACUUUCACUUGUCUAUGAACUGAUAUAAGCAACCCAGAAGUCCUUUACCGCGGACACGGCUAUUCGAAUAGAUGAUGUUAACCCUGCAGGGGUGUACUUCUUCAUACAUGUUUCCACCACUUAGCGUCUGCACACGACAUGUGCUCGGCAGACUUCAAGCGAAAGCCGACGUGGGUGUAGACCACGACCUACCUAAACACCUAAGUCUCUAGUCCAGAUUUAUCGCCUAUUCGGGUUCCAUCCAUGAGGACAUCCGGCCGGAGUUUCGCUCACAGCCCCAAACGAUGUGAACAGGGUUCCCGAGAUACCAAAUGGGCAUCCGGUACACCGUGCCACGUACCUACCGCAUCACAGCCCACCCCUACGGUCAGAGCUGUCCACGGCCUCCAGUAAGCUACAAACACCAGAAACUACUUGCAACUCCUGGACAGAGGACUAGGGUGAAUAAGAAGUCGAGCGGGGUCAUAUUUCAGGGCCCAAUGUAUGGUAGUAGCUGAAUCAUGGAUCACAAACACAGAACUCAGUUCCUGAGGACGGCUUCAAUGAGACAACCCACCAUGUACUCCUACAUGGCCUCUCACCGCUACCUUUACCAAAUCGUGUUCACACACCUAGCUCACACACAGUAGGACAUGUUCACACGCCUCUGAUUCAUCCCCGAUGAAUCAGACCUGACUCAACUCUAAGCAGUAGCAGGCAUGACAAACAAGCAUGAAUGAGUAGGCACAUCAGGGCUCAAACAACUCCUACUCAUGCUAGUGGGUUUGAUCUAUUUACUGUGGCAAUGACAGGUCAUGCAAAGGAUAAAGGGGUUCAGCUACCGCAGCAAGUAACAGAUGAAUCGGUGUUGUCCUAAUGCAGUAAAAGAGAGCAGGAGCGAGAGAGUAGGAUUGUAUCGGAAUGAACAAGGGGGUUUUUGCUUGCCUGGCACUUCUGAAGAUAACAUUGAGUCUUCAUCAGUGUCAACGAUCACAUCAUCGGUAUCACGUCUAUCGAGAGGGGACAAAUACCGGCAACACAGAAGGGAACACAAUCAAUGCAAUGCACAAUAUGAUGCAUGAUCAUGACAUGGCAAAAUGAAUGUGUUUUGGGCUACUGCAACUAGCAAUAGAUUAAAUGAAGUUGGUUUGAAUACAAGAUUCAAAUUCAAACUCCAUAUGUGAUUAUUCAAAUGCCAUUUAAUUGAUUUGUGCUAAACAGCAGCUAUAAGUUGUUCUAACAUGCAUGAAAAUGGUACAGAUGGAUUCCUUGAAUUUUUCUGAUAAUUUUUCAUAUAUAAUUUAUUUAAUUUGGAGUUACGGUUAAUUUUCUAUGAAUUUUAGAAGUUUUGGUUAUUAUCUGAAAUUUAUAAAUCAUUUUUGAUUUAUUUUAAUUCCAGAAACAUUUACUGCGUCAGCAGUGCGUCACCGUGACGUCAGCAAGUCAACAGGGGUCGGUCAGGGUCAAACCUGACGUGUGGGGGCCACACGUCAGUGAUACAGGGUUGUUUUAAACUCACUGACAGGUGGGACCGGUCAACGGCCACGUCAGCUAGGUCAAAUCCGACGCGUGGGGCCACUGUGGUUAACUUAAACUAAACAGGGGGUUAACCGUGGUUAGUUAAGGGCGUGGGGCCCAUAUGUCAGUGAGAGAUAGGGCUGUUAGCAGGGUCAUUAGCGACUAAGUAAGUGCGCCACGUCGGCGUCACCGGAGACCAGCCGGCGGCGACCAAACCCGGAGCGGCAACACGCCGGAGUUGCUCAGGUUUCGCGUACAGAUAGCGGUUUGAGCCGCGGUUGAUCUCUACGGACGCGUCGUGGUGAGGCACGUCGUUUGGUAGCAGCGGGAGGUGCUGAGGUGGUCGGAAUCAGCAAUGGCGGCGAGCGAGGCGGCGGCCGGAGCUCGGGUGGGUGCGGGGUUAGCGCUGCGGCUUGCAAACGAGCUAGCUGCCACGCUAGUGUUGCUCCAUGGGUCGUUGCGAGUGCAACGGACGCACGCGCGGGGCCAUUUGGUCACCGGGGCUUCGCCGGCGACGAGCCCGCGCGGCGACGGCUACGGUAAGCAAGGGGGCGGCGGCUACGGCAAACAAACGAAGGCGGGAUUAGGGGGAAGAGGACCGGGGGCUCACCACGGUCACGAAGAGAUGCUCGGCGAGGUCGGGGACGGUCCGGAGCCGGCGAAUUUGACGAAGAUGGCCGGCGGGUCCGAGGUAGAAGACGACGGCGAUGGCGGCGAUGCAGGGCUUCCGGAGGGCUGUGGAUCGGUGGGGAGGAAGAGGGGGUCGAGGCGGAGCUCCUGGGUGCAUCGGCGAGGCUAGGGGUGGCCGGUGGCCGCGGCGAACGGCGUCGGUGGCGACGGGGCUCCGCUCGGUGGAGGAAAGAGGGAGCCAAGGAAAGGGGGAGACGAUGGGAGAGGUCGAGGGGUUCCAGGGGGUCGGGGCAUCGUGGUGGCGUGAGGGGGAGGCUCGGGAACGCCUCGGUGGAAGCAGGAGGUGGCCGAGGCGGCAUCGGCGCUCGCCACCGAGCUGCUUCGGUGCGAGGGGAGGAAGAUGACAAGGGGGAGGAGGUGGGCUGGGCCGGCCAGGUGGGGGAGCUGGGCCGGCUGGUGGGCUGCACGGGUGAGGCCAGGUAGGCUUUACUCUUUUUAAUUUUUUUCUGUUCUGUUUCUUUUAUUUAAUAUCUUUUGCCAUUGUUUGAAUUUAAACAAAUUCAAACAAUGCCAAAAACUCCUCUGAAUAUUUUUAUUUUGCUAGAUGGACUUUUCCAAAAGCUCAUAAAAUAUUUCAGGGGUAUUUGAAAUUAUAUUCUAAUUAUAUGAAUAUAAUUCAAAUUCAAAUAGCUAAUGAUUUAAAUUCAAAGUCCCAAAAAUAAAUCCUUAAAAAUGUUCAAUAUUUUGGUUGGGACCAGAACCCUUACCAAAAAUUAUCAAACAUUUAAGAAGAGCCUUUUGGAGCAAUGAAUGAGAUUUCUAGGGUUUUUGCCCUUCUUUUAUUUAGGGUUUUGAGGCUUCCAAUAUUCCUCAAUUCAAGUUUCAAAAAUAUAGACAUGAUGCACACAUGAAGCUAACCUAGAGCAAUGCCAGAAGCUAGGGAUGUGACACGCUUUCAGUGGGAGGAGACGUUUCCGUCGACGACGAGGCGCCUACGCUGACUUCGUAAAUCUCAAGAUGAUAUGUCGGCUCAGUCUCUCGAAGGUGCUCAUAGGGGUAGGGUGUGCGUGUGUGCGUUCAUAGAGGUGAGUAUAUGCGCGUGUAUAUGAGCGCUUGUGUCUGUAUUAAUGCUCAAAAAAAUAACAAAACGAUAGUGUUGGAGCUCAGUGGGCAGGGUGUGUGCGUCUGUUUGCAAAUUGUUCCCUAACAGGUGUAGAGGGCAUUUGCUCGGAACUCCAAGCACGAAGAUCCCAGCGCCCGUUAUUCUCCAUGGGGCUGCCUAAAGAAAAUUACAAGAUCGUGUCGUAGAAGAAGAAAGAAUUUGAAGAUCUUGAAGAUUUGUUUGUUUCUUUUAGAAUUUACUAGUAUAUAUGCUCGUGUGUUGCAACGGGAGAGAUUUUUUGCGAGAAGUAUCGGAAGAGAUAACUGAUGUGUCCAUUAAAAUGGUCUCCACACAAUAGUGGGGUGAUACAGCAGAGUUGUGGUGUUCUCACGGGUCAUGUUUGGCACGCAAGACCUUUAUAGUAAUGAGGUUGGUGGGAAUGGCGGCCACUACCCAAUUCGUGCAUUUUUUCCUUCAGGUCUGCCUCAUUGUCGAGGUUUUAUGGUGACGUCCUGAUUUGGUUUAAACAUGUGAGCAUUUUUUUCCGAAAAAACAUUAAUUUCUAGAAAAAGGAAAAUAAAACUUGAAAUAGGAACAUUUUUUAAAAUUUACAAACACUUUUUGAAAAUAGGACUAUUUUUAAGGCGGAGAAAUGAACACGUUUUGAAUUUGUGAACAAUUGUUUAAAAUGGGAACUUGUUUUGAACAUUAAAAUCAAUUUUCAAAAAUGUCUUGUUAAUCACGAAUAUUUUUUUGAAUUUGUGAACAUUUCAAUAAAAUAAAUUUUUUAACGAAUUUCUGUUAUUUUUUAAAUGAAAUUUAUUUUGGAUAUCUAGAAAAAAUUUCAAUUUUUUUCAAAAAUGCGAAUUUUUUUUCAAUUUUGAAACAAAUUUUGAACGAAAAUAAAAUUUUAAAUUUCCAAUUCUUUUUUAAACUGGGAAGAAAUUUUGAAAUUCUAAGAUUUAACAAAAAUUAGUACAAAAAACUAAAUUUUGGAAAAUUUAUAAAAUUAAUGUAUGAAAAAAGGAAAAAAUAAAUUGGAAGGGAAAAAAUAAAAAUAGAAAAAGAACACAGAAAAAUCAGAAAUAGGCAGGCCCAACAUUGGGCGACCGAUGGGAAGCUCCAAUUAUAUGCCGCGCUGUGCGACAAAUAAGGUUCCCCAGUUGUGUGUGCAGGAUAUAAAUGAGUGGCUUUUCUUGGCCUUAGAGCAUGCGGCCCACGUACGAAAUUCUGUACAAGACUUUUUAUUUUUUUAACAGAUGAACCAUGAAAAUUUAGUAUCAUCUCGGAUAUAAGAAAAAUAUUUUCGUGGUGAAUGGAGGAAAAAAUUGGAGAAAUACACCUUGUUUUAUUAGUAGGGGUAUAGAUAUAGAUAUAGAUAUAGAUAUAGAUUUUGUAAUCGCUGUAGUCAGCUCAUUUAUCUCUACCCGCAAGCACGACGAGCUGCAAAUAAACAUCCAUGGGCCCCGUUCACUCAAAGCCCAAGUGGGGAUGGUGAUAAUCGUGGGAAAGAAAACCACUCACUCGAUCUGUUUCUCAAGAAAAGAAUUACUCACUCGACCGGCCCCGUUCUCGAAAAAAAACUCGGCCGACCGUCCGACCGGCGGCCUUCCCCUAGUCGCCGUCGCUGACCCUGCCCCGGACAGGAUCCACGGUCGCCGUCACCGUCACCGUCGUUCCCCAGUCCGCAAGAUGCGGUGCCAUCGAUGGCCGCGGAGAGGAGCGCAGCACGUUCUAAGGCAACUGACGGGCUCAAAGUCAGCGUGGGGAAUUUCGCCCCAAGAGGCCAAGAAUCUCUCUCCGCCGGCCGGUCUCCUCCGAAAUUUCCAGCGAACGCAGCAAGGCCUCUCCUCUUCAACCACCCAAGGGCGCUCCGUCAGUGGCCUCUCUUUCUCAUCCGAGGACGAUCCGAGGUUGUGGAGGGUUCUGCUUCGAGGAUCAAGGUACGGGUCGGGAUCCCCUUCCCUCACUCUUUUACUUCUUGCUUGAAACUGUUCGUCAAGCUCUAGGCUUCUCUCAUCCAUCUUAUACUUCUUCCUAGUCAACUUCAAUUGGACUAAGGCCUCGCCACAUAUGCUGUUUAUCCUCAAUCAAUGCGAGUCUUAUAGUCGUUGGCCUGCUCGAUUUCUUUUCUUGAAUAGGGCUGGCCUUAUUACCGAAAAAGGGUUUCCCCCCCGCUUUGUAUACAAAGCAACCAACCGAGACAUCCAACGAUAGGUGCUGGGGCGGAAGCAGCACAGUCACGCCCAAAAGGUUUAGCCAGAUUGAUGCGUUCGUAUUUUGCACUGGGUGUAUGUGACCAAUAUAUCUGAUGCGUCUCGCAAUCUAACCUGCAGGUCCCACUUUUGAUAGGCAUAGUUCAAACUUUUGGUGUUGUUAUCAAUUGAAGGAUAAUCAGCUUGUGAACCAUCACCUUGUUCACUGCCUUCUUCCACUCUUAUACAUGGCUGUUUCUGCACUCAUUGAUUUCGUUACUAGUACUGUGGCAUCCCACUUAUGGAACCCUGUGAUUACACGUAUGAGAUACAUAAUACACAAGGAGGAAAAUAUUGGCAAGCUGGACAGAACUAUAAGGAAUCUAGAAGCCAGGAAGCAGGAAAUCCAAAUCCGUCUUAUGAACUCCGAAAGGAAGCAAGAAACAUGUAACCCUGAAGUUGCAGAAUGGCUAGAGAAAGUGGCAGAAAUAGAAAGUGAAGUGAAUGAGAUGAAACAUGGGCAGAGGAAGAGAAGGGCCCAGUCUUUCAGCUAUUGGUCAAAUUACGAAACUGGUAUGCAGGCUGCCAAGAAACUCAAGGAAGCUGAGAUGUUGCAUGAGAAGGGAUCCUUCAAACAGGUGUCAAUUGAGGUUCCACCAUGUUCCGUGCAAGAAAUGCCCACUGUACCUUCAACACAAGGAGCAGACUGUAACUUAAGCAGAGUCCUCCAGUACCUCAAAGAUGACAGAGUUGGAAUUGUAGGGGUAUGGGGAAUGGGAGGAGUUGGUAAGACCACUCUGCUCAGGAAAAUCAACAAUCACUUGUUGGGUGUGAUCGAAGAAGACUAUGGAUACGACCUUGUUAUAUAUGUUGUGGUGUCUAAGGCGUGUGGAAUAGGGCAGCUCCAAGCAGACAUCUCUGAAAAGAUUGGUCUCUUCCUGAAACCAGGCUCCAGCAUUGAAACACGGGCUUCAGUCAUGUUAAGUUUCAUAAGGCAGAAGAAGUUCUUGCUCCUGCUAGAUGAUUUAUGGAAUUAUUUGGAUCUAGCAGAAGCUGGUAUUCCAUAUCCUAGUGGCCUGAAUAAACAGAAGGUAGUUCUGGCAACACGGUAUGAGAGUGUUUGUGCAAAUAUGGAUGCUCACAACAGGGUUUUCCUGGAAUGCUUGGACCAAGAAAAAGCUUGGAAAUUGUUCAAAGAAAAAGCAACAGAAGAAACCAUUAAUUCAGAUCCUAGGAUCGAAAAGUUAGCACAUGUAGUUGCAGAAGAAUGUGGGGGCUUGCCCCUUGCUCUCAUAACUAUCGGCCGUGCAAUGUCUUCAAAGAAGUCUUAUCAUGAAUGGGCACUUGCUUUAUCAUUUCUGAAGAAGUCUCGCAUUCAUGAGAUCCCAAAUAUGGGGAAUGUUAGCCACCUAUACAAUAGGUUAAAGAUAAGUUAUGAUUAGCUGCAGGAUAAACAGAUCAAAGAAUGCUUCUUAUGUUGUUCUUUGUGGCCUGAAGAUUACUCAAUUUGGAAAGUUGAACUCAUAGACUGUUGGAUGGGGAUGGGUUUGAUAGAGUAUGAUACCAUGGAGGAAGGAUACAACAAGGGUUACUCCAUUAUUGAGUACUUGAAGGAUGUGUGCUUGCUGGAAACCGGCUACUUGGAUGAUAGUGAGGUGAGAGUACAUGACAUUAUCCGGGACAUGUCACUGUGGAUAUCUUCUGAUUGCAGUGAAGAGCACAUGAAAUGGUUUGUUCAAGCCGGGGUAGGACUUUAUAACAUUUCUAAUAGGGACAUCGAAACAUUUAGGUCAGGUAGAAAGAUAUCUCUAAUGUGCAAUUACAUCCCCGAACUUCCUCGGGCCUUGAACUGUCCAAACCUCUAGUUUCUGUCACUACAACAGAAUUUUCGGCUCAAGGUCAUACCACGUUCUUUUUUAGAGAGCAUAUCAUCUGUGACCUACUUGGAUUUGUCCUGGGUUCCCAUCAAGGAACUUCCAGAAGAAAUUGGCAUGCUGGUUGAACUCCAGUAUCUCACACUGAAGCAAACACACAUUAGAUUAUUGCCUAUAGCUAUUGGGCUAUUAAGAAAGUUGAAGUUCUUGGACAUGAGCUAUAUGGAUUUCUUGGAGAAGAUACCCUUUAGUGUUUUUACAAAUUUGUCAAUGCUAGAAGUUUUAAACCUAUAUGGUAGCAGGUAUGCCGGCCGCGAAGCAGAUUUUGAUUCAGCAAACCACAUGGAUUAUGAUGAGUUUAGAGUCGAAGAAUUAUCUUGCUUAAGUCUAGGAAUAACGGCAAAGAAAGUGAGUACUCUGCAGAGACUUUUUGACGUACCUGGAGUCCACUUGAGAUGCCUUGGUUUAUAUGAAUUGAAUGGAGAGAGAUCUCUUACUGUCACUUUAACGGAAAGUAUCUUUGUUCUGAAUGUAAUGGGCUGUUCUGAUUUAGAGGACUUCUGCAUUAUGAAAAAGACAAAAUGUUAUGGAGACCAUCUUUCGAGGCUGGAGUUCCUGACCUUUUGGGAUCUUCCUCGACUUGAGAAGAAUAGUAUGGACCAUCUUCAAAACCUUCGUGUCCUUACAGUGGGGAGAACCUAUCAAUUGGUAGACCUGUCCUGCAUUUUAAAUUUACCAUAUCUGGAGCAUUUGAAUGUGUCUUGCUGUGAUAAAAUGAAGCAGUUACUUGAUAUACAGAAUGCUAUUGUCACGGAAGGAACAUAUGAAACUCCGAUUCAGGCAUUUCGGCAACUGAGAAUUUUGCAAUUGAAUUCGUUGCAAAGCUUGAAUAGCUUAUGUAAUUCUGAAUUGGAUUUUCCUUCUUUGGAAUAUAUUGAUGUGUUUGCUUGCCCGAAGAUUAAGAAACUACCUUUGGGGAAAAUUGGUAAACUGAAGAGGAUAAGAGGGGAGCAAACAUGAUGGGAUAAUCUCGAGUGGGACGAUGAAAGCAGUUCCUUGUCAUUGUUGGCGUCUUUUAAGUCAUCAGGAAUUUGCUCGGCAUCCUUUAGGCCAGAGCUAGAUACCACUGUGAUAUCCUCCUCGCCGAAAGCUUUCUUCACGAAGAGGCAGCCCAUAUUGAAUUCAUCAGUACGAUUCACAUCCUAUCCACAAUCAAUAUUUGAAACAGAGGAAUUCGGUGGGCAUAUGAUGAUGGAAUAGUUUCACUAGUAUCAUUUACCAGUUCUCCUGAACAUCUCGCUGAGUUUCAUUAGCUGCUCAAGGUAUGAUUUUUUGAUACUACACCAUUGUUCACUGACUGAUUAAUCAAUUCUAUCAAUAUUAGAAAUACACAGCCAUGCUAUUCUGUUAUUUUAUCUUGUACUAUAACUCUAGUUUCGGUCAGUUUUUCCGAUUGACGGGUUCAGUUUGAUGGUUAAAAAAUAAGUUACAAAAUGUAAGGUGCACCUGUUGAGUAAAGCUUACGAUUAGUUGCUGAAGCGUUGGACCAAGUCAAGUGUGUUUGACCUUGUUCUAGUGUUCGGUCUUUAUCCCUUUCAAAGUCGUUAUGCAUCUUAAGCUACCUGUACUUUUCCACAACCAUUCUGAAUUGCGAAGAGUGGAGCUCUGGUUUACGCCAGAAGGGAAUAGAUCAUAUGCAUUAAUUUUCAUCAUCUGACGGCUGAUGGUGUACACGGUCAAACAAAAUAAGUGUCUUUUUAGCAUGUCAGGCUGUUAGCAAAACUGUGUGUUGUUCACCUUGUAUAGCCCAGCUCUUGAUUGCAUACUAACACUAGACAAACUUCUGUUGCAAGCUGCCCACAGACAAGUACUAGGAUAACUCCAUGUAGAUUGUAUUAGACAAGACAGAGAAAUCAAUUGGCCGAGUGUUUAUGUUCUAAGUAACUUCUAACACCAAGUCUCGUUAUGUUCCAUGUGCAGAUGGCAAGCUCUGUUUGACUGAAUCCAUCCAUCGUGAAUUUGUGAUUUUCCAUGGCCUCCUGGCCGAACCGAACAGGAGGAAGUUGGAUUGGACGGCCACCGCCAGAACCUGAGAAAGCGUAGAAGGAACGAAAGAUCCGCAACCGUUAGCCCGACUUGAAAUCGAUCAACGGACUGCUUGCCAUGCAUCAGGCACAAGAACAAGAUGAUGCUGGUGCCACCGGACUGGCUGUCUGACUCUGAAGAAACUGAAAAUGAUUGUGCGCCGGCGGAGAUGGGAACCUGAAGGGUGUCAUCGACUCAGGCUGAUUCACCCACCACUUCGGGGAAGCUGGCGGCGUCGUGCAGGCCCAGUCUGGCAGUGUGCUGUGCAGCUGCCGAUCCAGUAUAUGUUGUAACCGGACCAUUUUUACCGCUUGAUCAUCCAUCCAUGUCGUUGUUCAUCCUAGGACCCCAGCUUGCAUGCUGAAUUGUUUGCAUAUUACUAGUACUUAAUUACUCCCACUAUGCAGUAAGGGGUCAUUCCAUUCUGAUCACACAUGCCAUAGGAUCGGGCAGUUUUUCGGACUUUCUCUUGGUGCCGGUUCCAUAGGACCAAGGAAUAUAUUUUUUUCCCCUGUAAAAGAACAGCGACUGAAGUCUUGUUAAGCAGCAUCUUAAGCUCCCUGGACUUCUCCACAACCUUGAUGGAGCCGUGGUUUGUGCUGGAUUUCAAUAAAUCAUAUGCUUUACUUUCACCAUCUGACGAUUGAUGGUGAACACGGUCAAACGAUAACAAAACAGUUUUACUUUUAUUGUCUGUCGUGCUGUCAGCGAUGGAUUGGGUAUGCAUUGUGUGCUGGCUGUUCACCUUGCUUAAGCUGCGCACAAACAAGUCAGAGAAAUUCAACUGGCAGUAGUUCUAACUUGCAAGACUACUUGAUUACGUUGUUCGUCAGCCGAAUUCCAGCUUGAUGACGGUGUGCCUGCCACCGGCUGUCGACUGACUUGACCCUGAAGAAACUGAAAAUGAGGUUGUCAUUUUACUGCCCUCGCUAUGCAGUAACGGGUCAAUCCAUUCUGAUGUACACAUGGCAUAGGACCAGGCAAUCUUUUGGCAGCAUAUAUAUGGCGAUAGAGACUGAAAAAUGUUCUUCCUUUUUUUUUCUUAAAAAAGAAUGGCCACUUAGAAUCAGCAAAGCCGUACGGGUUAAAAAAGAAAAUCCUCAUCUCCUUGGAUCAAGUCAGCUCGUGUUUUAACCAUCUGAUCUUGUUGAGGCCGUGUUCGUGUCUCAUCUUAGAUCCAUCUUUGAAGGUGCAUGCCUGAACUUAAACAACUUGUGUAUUAGUACUUCUGUACUUGUUUACUUGGCUGGUGGCUGGUGGCUGGUGUGAUAUUUGCGAGGUGUAAUUGAAGCUCUAGCAUGCUUAUGGUCAGAUGCGAAUAGGUCACACUAGCUGCUGCACAUCGGAUGGCGAAUGAGUACGGUCAGUCUUGAUCAGCUAAGCAGUUGAAUGUUUGAUUAGGGUAUCGUCCUAGGAUAAGUCCACGUAGUCCCAUCUGGUGGACCAGUCAGAGAAAUCAACCGGCAGAAGCAAAGACGGGGCGAAAGUCCAGAUAUGAACAGUAUUGUAGUACUGUAGAGCAGUAGCUGGAACUGGAAGUGGUCGUGGACGGAUGGGUCAUGGCACGGGAGCCUUUCCCUUUCCCUUCGGGGCCCAAGCCACCAAGCAAAGCACGUACGAGUCGUCGCGCGACGGCGGACGGGCGAGUCGUCGGACCGGAAGUGUUUACUACCCGCGUUAUGCAUGCAGAUUUACACAUGCCAUAGGACCGAGCAAGUUUUCAGACUUCUCUUUUGGCAGCAUAUAUAUGGCGAUAGAGACUGAAAAAUGUUCUUCCUUUUUUUUUCUUAAAAAAGAAUGGCCACUUAGAAUCAGCAAAGCCGUGCUUUUCAUUCUUCUAGAAAAGUUGGAGUGAAUCCACUUCCGUUAGUUUGCCAAUCCAAAACAUGCCUUUUUCCAAGAACGAAUGCUUGAUUCCGCCUGUUGUCAUUACAUCAAUCAAUCACCAACAAAACUAAUGGGACUGUACACAUCAUAACAAACGGUUGUGCUGAAGCUUUCUACCUACUCCCUCCGUUUUAAAAUAGAUUAACUUUAUACUAACUUUAAUAUAAAAUUAAUAUAAAGUUAGGUUAUCUAUUUUGAAACGGAGGGAGUAGUUGGGUUCACAACCACAGAUGUGCCCACAACAGAGGACCCUGCAAUACAAAAGGGAGCAAGCAAUUUGACUCCACCGACCGUACGGAUUAAAAAGAAAAUCCUCAUCCCCUUGGGUCAAGUCGAGUUAGCCAGCUCACGAUUUAACCAUCUGAUCUUGUUGAGUCCGUGUCCGUGUCUCAUCUUCGAAGGUGCAUGACUGGACUUAAACAACUCAACCAACUUGUGUACUACUCCCUCCGAUCCAUAACAACUGUCGUGGUUUUAGUUUACUUGUCCAGUAUGACUUUUGCAAUGUGUGAUUGAAGCUCUGGCAUGCUUAUGGUAGAUGCAAAUAGGUCGCACUAGCUACUGCACAUCGGAUGGCAAAUGAAUACGGUUAGUCUUGGUCAUCUAAGCGGUUGAAUGUUUGAUUGGAGUAUCGUACUAGGAUAAGUCCACCUAGUCUCACUCUCAUCUGGGACCAGUCAGAGAAAUCAACUGGCAGAAGCAAAGGAUGGGCAGAAGUCCAAACAUGAACAGAAGAGCUUUCCUCUCCCUAAGAAGCAACUCGCGGGCGACUAGGGUUUCCUCUUUUCCCAUCAGCACCGAUGUUGGUACACCUCGCCUCUGAUGGCCUUUGGCGCACGGAGGUGCGGCGGACCCUGACCCCUCGCCAACAGGGACGGACCCAGCUCUCGUUCUUGUUUGGUUCAACAUCUCGGUUGGGGCGAUCUAGUGGCGACAAUGUCUAUAGUAGGAAUGAUGUCUCCCAAGUUUGACCAUGUUCCCCAUUAUGCGUCUAACGUUGUCGGAGGAUGUGUGGUGUUGCGUCUCUGUCGGAUCUCGUGGGACUCAGUUGGUACCGGUCUCCGGUGGUUCUAUUUGAAUCUAGUAUUCAGUCAUGUGUCUACAUCUUUUUAUCCUUUCGCUCUACGCUUCUCUUCAUCGACGACGCUUACUACUCUAGUGCAUUGUUCCUAGUCCUGGCCAUGGGAAGCCCAACCCGGCCCGAAAAAGCCUGACCCGGCNNNNNNNNNNNNNNNNNNNNNNNNNNNNNNNNNNNNNNNNNNNNNNNNNNNNNNNNNNNNNNNNNNNNNNNNNNNNNNNNNNNNNNNNNNNNNNNNNNNNCAUUGUAGACAUGUUUUUUUGUCAUUUCUAAAUCACAUGCAAGAUUUAAGAUAAGACUACCUUAUCGACCAUUGUACAUGCCCUUAGCCCGUAGUAGUUUUCGUCUAUGAAUGAAAUGGCAUCGAGUCAAUCCAGCGAGCUCGACACGCACGCACCGCCGUAGCCUGAGAAAGGGACUAGCUCGUAUUGUAGUACUGUAGAGCAGUAGCUGGAACUGGAAGUGGUCGUGGACGGAUGGGUCAUGGCACGGGAGCCUUUCCCUUUCCCUUCGGGGCCCAAGCCACCAAGCAAAGCACGUACGAGUCGUCGCGCGACGGCGGACGGGCGAGUCGUCGGACCGGAAGUGUUUACUACCCGCGUUAUGCAUGCAGAUUUACACAUGCCAUAGGACCGAGCAAGUUUUCAGACUUCUCUUUUGGCAGCAUAUAUAUGGCGAUAGAGACUGAAAAAUGUUCUUCCUUUUUUUUUCUUAAAAAAGAAUGGCCACUUAGAAUCAGCAAAGCCGUGCUUUUCAUUCUUCUAGAAAAGUUGGAGUGAAUCCACUUCCGUUAGUUUGCCCGAACGUUCGCCAAUCCAAAACAUGCCCUUUUUUCCAAGAACGAAGGCUUGAUUCCGCCCGCUGUCAUUACAUCAAUCAAUCAAUCAACAAAACUAAUGGAACUGUACACAUCAUAACAAACGGUUGUGCUGGAGCUUUCUACCUAGUUGAGUUCACAACCACUGAUGUGCCGACAACAGAAGACCCUUUUGCAAUACAAAAGGAGCAGUAUUUAUUUGUUUAGUACUCCCUUCGUAAAAAAAAUAUAAGAGUGUUUUAAAAAAUCCCUUCGUAAAGAUAUAUAAAUAUAAGAUUUCUUUACAGAGGGAGUGAAGCUCUAGCAUGCUUAUGGUAGAUGCGAAUAGGUCGCACUAGCUACUACACAUCAGAUGGCGAAUGAAUACGGUUAGUCUUGGUCAUCUAAGGAGUUGAAUGUUUGAUUGGGGUAUCGUACUAGGAUAAGUCCACGUAGUCUCAUCUAGACCAGUCAGAGAAAUCAACUAGCAGAAGGAAAGGAUAGGCGAAAGUGCAAACAUGAACAAAAAGACUUUCCUCCCAGAAAAGCAACUCCUGGACAACUAGGGUUUCCACUUUCCCCAUCGGCACCGCCGCUUGUACACCUCGCCUCCUGAUGGCCUUUGGGCCACGAAGGUGCGGAGGACCCUAACCCCUCGUCGACAGGAAGGNNNNNNNNNNNNNNNNNNNNNNNNNNNNNNNNNNNNNNNNNNNNNNNNNNNNNNNNNNNNNNNNNNNNNNNNNNNNNNNNNNNNNNNNNNNNNNNNNNNNNNNNNNNNNNNNNNNNNNNNNNNNNNNNNNNNNNNNNNNNNNNNNNNNNNNNNNNNNNNNNNNNNNNNNNNNNNNNNNNNNNNNNNNNNNNGAUAUGGCGGCUACGAUGCCCAUAUUAGGAAUAAUGUCUCCCAAGUUUGAUCUCCAUCCUGACGAUGCAUUUAUCGUUUGUCGGAGGAAGUGUGAUGGUGUGUCUCCGUUGGAUAUCAUGAGGUUUGGUCCGUGUUGGUUUUCAAUACUUCUGUUUGAAUCUAUUCUUCAGUCAUGUGUCUACAUCUUUUAUCCUUUCAGUCUACAUUUCUCUUCACUGGGGACGUUUGCUGUCCUGGUGUGUUGUUGCUGUGGGGGCAUUAGCACAAUGAAUUUUCAACUAUCUACUACAACAACUUUAGCUUGGCCCUGGUGAGGAAAAAGGGAUGACAGCGGCAUGGCUUCGGCUCACAUAUUCAGUAUUUAUAGACGUCGCUAAGUGGUUACGGAUCUGGAUGUAGUUUAGUUAUUUAUGGUGCUUCUUGUCUACGGAUAUGGAUGCAGUUAGUUAUUUCUGAUGCUUCUUGUACUGCCAUGACAAAUGAUGAAUGGAUCGAAACUUUCUUAGAAAAAAAGAAAGGAUGAAUGAUAUGGCAAUCCAGACUAAACAGAAAUAUGUCCUCAAAUAGAAUAGCCACUUAGAAUUAGCAAACUUUUUUUUGCGUGCGUGGGUAGACAACCAGGAUCCAGAGCUCCCCCUGUUCCAUUUUAUCGCAUGCCAUUCAAGAAUUGGAGCAGUGGCAGCAAGGUGCAUGCACGCAUCUUUGGAGUAAACUAAAGCCAAGCUACUAUACCCAUCUUCCUUCCGCCUGUACGUCAUUAGAAUGUCAAGCUGCUUUUCCUCAAAAAAAAAAUGUCAAGCUGCUUAACCACAGAAUGGAUGUUCUGGAGCCUUCUGGAAUGCGAUUACCAUCACGGGUAACAUAUGCCAUUGACAGAAGACCCCAACAGAAAAUAAAAGAAAAACGAGCAAGCAAAGCAACUCGAUCGUGGGGGCUUCUCUUAAACCCUACUCCCUCCGUCCUAUAGUAACAUUAUGUAAUAACAUCUUAUAUUAUGGGACAGGCGAGUAGUCAUUAGAAUGGCAAACAAAACACAUCAAACUGCUUAAUUAAGCACGCAACGGUUGUUCUGGGGCCUUGUGGAUUGAGAUUAGGAUCACGGAUAACAUAUGCGAGCGACACAAGACCUUAACAGAAAAUAAAAAGAAAAACGCAACUCGAUCGUUGGGGGGUCUUUUAAAUCCUCGUUUCUUCGGACCAAAGUUUGGCAGGUCACGCGUUAUAUAUUUGAUCUCGCUCUUGUUGCGUCCAUUUUUGGUCCUCAUCCUCAAUCUUGCAAGGUGUGUCAACUUAGCCAGCUCGUUUACUUGACUAGGCUGAAUUUUGCUAUUGGUUCAAAGCUCAUGCGUCUUUUGGCUUAUUAUUAACAGGUCGCACUUGUUUCAAAUGAAAAAAAGGUGGCACUACGAACACGGUCGAUCAAAGUCAAACAAACACAGAUAGUGAGCUCGGCUUUUCUCACAGCACGUCGGCAGCGGGAUGAGCAUGAGCGGUUGUGGUACUACUAGUAGGAUAAAUUUGCGUGCGGUCUGAUCUGAUAGUCUGAGACCGACCGGGCGGUCAGAGCAAGACUCGCAGUAGGUAAGAAAAGAUGGAGCCGCCGGAGCUAGCAUUCGCCCAGUUGACUGGUUCGGUCGACGCUGACCAGCUUAAUUCACCGGACGUAUGUACUCCCUCCGGUCCUUUUUAUUUUACAUAUUAGAAUUCUCUGAAGUCAACAUUUGCUAAAGUUUGGCCAUAUUUAUAUGAAAAAAUAUCAACAUCUGCCAUGUUAAAGUUAUAUAAUAUGAAACUUUAAGUCAUGACACAUCUAGUGGUAUUGAUUUCAGAUUGUGAAUGUAGGCACUUUUUUCUACAAAGUUGAUCAAACUUUACGAGGCUUGGCUUCAAUUAAAUUUUAUAUGCGAACUAAAAAGGACCGGAGGGAGUACUGCCAGUAGUUUUCCUCGGUGACUGAAGUGGCAUCGAAUCAAGCGAGCUAGCGACAAGCACGCACCGCCGGCGCCGUAGCCUGGGAAAGGGACUCGCUCGUACUAGUACUAGUAGCUGGAACUGGAAGUGGUCGUGGACCAGUGGAUGGAAGGGUCAUGGCACGGGAGCCUUCCCUUUCACCUUUAAGGCCCAAGGUAGCCACCAAGCAUUAGCAAAGCACGCACGAGUCGCCCACCCACCUCCGCGACGGGCGGACGGACGAGCCGUCAAAUCGUAGACUAUAGCGUGCGCCGCUCACGCGUGACAAUUCCACCGAACGUUCCCUUCUUCUUCCGUGGAACGUGGACGGGCGGACGGAAGGGCCUCUCGCACGCCGUGUCGUGCUGCCUUGACAAUCGGCGCCGGCGGGUCUCCACUUUUCUUCUUCUGCCACCGUAGACAAAGUCAGAGCAGAGCAGAGGCGCCACCUGCCAUGCCUUGCCAUGGCGGGUCCCACGAUGACUUUGCACGACCCCGGCCGGCAGACUUGCAUCUUGGUCAUGGUAAAAGUGCGUGCAUGCGUGCGUAAUCACACACGUUUCGACGAGUCCAACGCUAGCUAGUAGCAUCAAAAUGCCAUCUCCCACCCUUUCUGCCCAUGAGCACCUCUUUAACCUUUGCAACACCCUUUUCAUACCAUACCGUUAUUAUACCAACCACUCCCCGGCCACCAGUACUAAAAAUAUUCCGGUGAGCCAAUACAUAUAUAUUCUAAAAAUGCCAAAGAUUUUGUCCGCGUCGAUCUCCCGGGCCCGGCCGUGUGCAUCUACCCGAUGGACGACCAAGAAGACCUUCUCGACGGGGAAUCAUUUGAAUAUGCGCACUGUACGUCGUCGAUCCAUUUGGCUGGCCGGGUAGAUUAAAAUGGACUUCGUGCUAAAAGUACCUGCCGGGUAGAUCAAAAUGGGCGAUGUUUUCCGAAUUUCCAUGUACGCAUACAUCACUGCAUUAUUAUGAAUUUAUGUACACUACACAUGAUAAAGUACUCGAACACCUUUUUGUUUUACAAAGAGGACUUGAAUUAGUCGUUCAAGUCUUGCAGAUGAGGUAAUCAAACAAGAAACAAGUCUUGCAAGUAAGCCAGUAGCUGCUCGGUUAACUAGUCGCUAUCGUCCAGCUAGUAUGCUAGAAUAAGUGCAAGUUUUAGGCUAUAGGAGAAUUGUAGAUCGUUGACCCGUGCCUUUCUUUAACCCUUCUGUUUUUCCAUACAAAACCUGUCGUUUUCAGUACACACACAAGACAACAUGUCCAAGAUAAAUAAAAUAAAAUGACAAUCAUUUUAAAUAGCUACGGAUAUACGCACCAACUAAGCAAACACACGCAAACACGCUUUUCAAAAUCAACUUCACAAAUGCAAGUCAGGGCUGCCUUAUGAGACACGCAAGCUUAUUUUACAGUGCUGUUUGUUAUUAUUAUGUGAGUUUGAUUCUGCAGGGUAUUAUUGUCCGAGUUUUGCUCAAUAAAAACUGUAAAAUAAGCAGUCCCUCCGCGCCUUAUAUUUUGAGAAGGAAGGAGUAGUAGAUAAUACUACUAGGGAUAAAGGUGUUUACCUACAUGUCUUGUCACUUGCGGCUAACAAAACUCAACAUUGAGUACUGACCAAACUAUGCAAGCCACAUUAUUCUUUUCCUAAAAAGUGUGUAACUAAUUUAGUCACAUUUUGCUCCUAGAUUCCCAAAGGAGAAUGGGCCACUACUAGAAAAAGGCCUACUAAUGGCGCACCAGUUUUGCCUACUAAUGGCGCAUUGCUGAUGCGCCAUUAGUAUCACGUCACUAGUAUUUCUUACUAAUGGCGCACCACCGAUGCGUCAUUAGUAUCUGGUAUACUAAUGGCGCACCAAGCAGUGCGCCAUUAGUAUAGAACAUCAUGCGCCAUUAUUAUGCCUCCCAGGGGGCCAUAUUUAAUCAUGUGCUUUGGCAUACUAAUGGCGCACUGUUGGGUGAUGUGUCAUUAGUGUGAUUAUAACAGUGCGCCAUUAGUGUAUUGUGUGGUGCGCCACUAGUAUGAAUAUUAGGGAUUUUUUUUCAUUUCUGAUAUUUUCACAGGUUAAAAAAUAUUAGAGAUAACAUACAACACAGAUCUGCUUAGCUUACAUACAGGGGGUCAUAUGUAACGAUGUUACCUGCGUCCACCAGAUCAUAUCCAACACACAAGUUUCAUCAUAUAUACAUACAUAGCCAACACAUAGUUCCAUCGUUACAUAUUACAAAAGUUUCACAAUGUUCAUUCAACACCGUUAUCCAUCAAUUCACAAAAGUUUCACAUUGAUACAAAAUAAAAACACAAAUGGAAAAGAAGCACUCCAUCCAUGCAAGCUUCCAUGAAUUAAAUCAAAUGUGCAAAAUGAUAAACAAGAAGUUAGAAGAAGAAGAGAAGAAGAAGAAGAAGAAGAAGAAGAAGACUAGAAGAAGAAUAAGAAGAAGAAUAAGAAGAAUAAGAAGAAGACUAUAAGUUUAUUAUGUAAACUUGAUCAUUUUGUGCUAACAUAAGUAAUUUUGAAGCUAACCUAUAGGAAACUAAGCAUAUAAGCUCUAAGUUAGCAUAUUAGAGCCAACUUAGGUAAAAUGAAGCUAACAUAUGUCAUUUUGGAUAAGAAAAAGAAUAAGAAGAAGACUAUAAGCUUAUUAUGUAAACUUGAUCAUUUUGUGCUAACAUAAAUAAUUUUGGAGCUAACCUAUAGGAAACUAAGCAUAUAAGCUCUAAGUUAGUAUAUUAGAGACAACUUAGGUAAAAUGAAGCUAACAUAUGUCAUUUUGGAUAAGAAAAAGAAUAAGAAGAAGACUAUAAGCUUAUUAUGUAAACUUGAUCAUUUUGUGCUAACAUAAGUAAUUUUGGAGCUAACCUAUAGGAAACUAAGCAUAUAAGCUCUAAGUUAGCAUAUUAGAGCCAACUUAGGUAAAAUGAAGCUAAGGGUAUCUCCAGCCGCGCCCCCAGGAAGGCCUCCCCAGGCGAUUUUUUCACGCUGGCGCCAAAAAAACGGCCCAGUCGCGCCCCCAGGAGCCCGAUUUUCGCCGGCCUGGGCCGAAAACAACGCCGGCGGAUCCAGGCCGAACCCGGCGCGCCGGGGGGCGCCGGGGUGAACUGUUUUGGCCCGAAACAGCCGCGGGCCCGCCGCGUCAGCGACACGGCGCCUCGUCUUCCCCCAACGGCCUCGGUUCCCGCGGGGAAUCAAUGCCAAGGCUGCCGCCGGUCAGCCUUGCCAUUGAUUCCUCACGGGCGGCGCGUCACGGGACAGCGCGCCGACGCCUCCCCUCCCUCGCACGCGUACACACGGGUGCGGUGCGGCUAUAUAGCCGGUGGCCUGCACUCGCCUGUGCCCACACCAGCCCCGCCCCUCGCCGCCGCCCAGCUCCUCCCUCUCCCUACCUCUCCCGAGCGCCGCCGCCCAGCCCCUUCCUCUAUCUCUCUACCUCUCCCGAGCCCGUUGCCAUGGCGGAACGCUACCCCGGAGACGAGGCGGCGGCCAACGGCUUCGGCCGCCGUUCGCUCCGCGAACAGGAGUCCUGGCUCCUGUUCCAAGCGAACAUCCCGACGCCGCCGGACAUGCGCGCCGGGCCGACGGGGUGGAGGCUCAGCGCCGGGGGAGUUCCCAUUCCCCCGUUGCCCGACGCCGUGGCGAAGCCGACGUACUUCGCCGAGGAAGUCGAGGUCGUGCGCGCCUUCCUCACCGACGCCCAACUCUCCCUCCCCCAGUACGCCGCUGACAACCACGCGGCUUGGGCGGUGUAUUUCGAGCGCCGCCAGCAGCGCUUAGCGUCCAUCAACGGCGCGCCGGUGGUUGGCGGCCGGCAGAACAGCGAGGGGCGCCACCUGUGGUGGGGCGUCCCCGGGCGCACACUCGAGGGCGUGCUAACGUACCUCGAGGGCGGCAACGACCCGCCGUUGGUGUACCAGCGAGGGCGGACGCCCCGGCGCAGCACCGACGCGCCGGGCCAUGGGCGCCAAGGAGGUUCGGGUCCUCCUCCUCUUCUUCCUCCUCCCGAUCUUCAUCGCACUCCUCCGGCACUCUGGCCCUGCUCGGCGGCAAGGCCGAGCCCGCGGCGGAGACGCCGCUCGGCCGGUGCACCCGCAGCGCCGGCAUCGUCAUCAACGAGGGCAGCCGGCGCGCCUCCUCGUCGGCUCCUCCUCCGUGCUUCAUCAAGCCAAAGACGGAGCCGGGGCUCGCGCCAGUGAAGACGGAGCCGGGGCUCGCGCCGGUGAAGAAGGAGCCGGCCACGCUGGUGACGACGGAGCUCGACGACGACGAAGUGGCCCUGGAAUGGGCGCGCAGGGACUCCAUAGCGAUGGAGAAGGAGCGCCUGGAGAAGGCGAAGGAGCGCCAGCGCGCCGCCCUGCUUCGCUUCGCGGAACGUCGACGCGGCCGCGACGAAGGCGGAGUCGUCGUCAUCUGCGACAGCAACAACGACGACGACGAUGCGCCGCCACCAGCCCGCCAUGGCGACGCUGGGCAGGGGUCCAGCAGGGGCGCCCGCGUCAAGGAGGAGAAGGCCGACGACGACGAUGGCGGCGACGGCGGCGACGGCGGCGACUUCAGCCAGUUUUUCCUUUAGAUUAGUUUAUGUAUAUGUGCUAUGUAAUGAAAAUCCGCGAACUUCGCCGAAAUGUGCCGAAAUUUAUCGUGUUUGGCCGAAUUUUAUCGUGUUUAAGCCGAACUUCUUUUAUUUUAAAACGUGCCUGGGGCGGCCCUGGGGCCGGCGGCUGGGGACCAACUCGCCCCCAGGCCCAAUUUUUGCGUCGGCUCACCCCCAGGCAGCGAUUUUAGGCGCUCCCUGGGGGGCCAACGGCUGGAGAUGCCCUAACAUAUGUCAUUUUGGAUAAGAAGAAGAAUAAGAAGAAAACUAUAAACUUAUUAUGUAAACUUGAUCAUUUUGUGCUAACAUAAGUAAUUUUGGAGCUAACCUAUAGGAAACUAAGCAUAUAAGCUCUAAGUUAGCAUAUUAGAGCCAACUUAGGUAAAAUGAAGCUAACAUAUGUCAUUUUGGAUAAGAAGAAGAAUAAGAAGAAGACUAUAAGCUUAUUAUGUAAACUUGAUCAUUUUGUGCUAACAUAAGUAAUUUUGGAGCUAACCUAUAAGAAACUAAGCAUAUUAGAGAUAAAUAGGUAACUAAGUAUAUAUAUAUAUAUAUAUAUAUCAUUUUGGAGAUCUGAUAUACCUGACAUAGUUCAGUUCUCAUUGUUCUUCUCCUUCUCCUUCUCCUUCCUCAACCUGAUGCGCCAAGAGCGGCGAGGCGGUGGAGGCAGCUGUGGGAUGUAGUCUUCUACCACAAUUGGCGUGGUCAUGUCGCCCAGCUGUGGGAUCGCCGGCGCCACCACCGGUGCGUGGUAAUUGUCAGGCACCACCACCAUCGCGAGGCCACCCUCAGCCACCACCAUCUCUUGCCCAUGGUCAGCCACCACCAUCUCUUGCCCAUGGUCAGCCACCACCAUAUUUUGCCCUUGGUCAGCCACCACCAGCGCUAGGCAUCCUCAGCCUGAUGCCCAUCGUCAUCCUGCAGCUCCUCAUCCCCACUCUGCUCCUCUUCUCCCCCACUCCAGUCCGGAUCAUCCUUCUUGUUGUCUUCACUGCCGCCAGAAUCGCUGCUGCUUUCUCUAAGGCCAGAAUCGCUGUUGCUUUUGUUACAGCCAUAAUCGCUGCUGCUUUGGUUGUAGCCAGUGUCGCUGCUGCUGCUCCCAUUGCCUAUCCAAAUGCAACAAUGACCGUUAACAAUCGAUGUGAGACAAAGCCAAAUGUAGAGGAAUAAGAAGAGGCAGAACACACUGGCAUCUUCGUCUUCAGCGUAGCGCAUGCGACACAUAGUUUUGUUGAAAACCUUCACGAUGAGCAUUGUGACGUCAUCGUCGUACCUCAAGAGAGAAAGUACCCGGUCCGCAGGUCGUAGGCACUGUAGAACUUCUCCCAGCCACGGCACAGGUACAUGUGGCCCUCCUCGAUCACUAACUCCACGUCCCACAACCUGCGAACCCCGCUGCCGGCCUGUCGGAGCUUCACAUUAUCUGGAGGAUCUUCACCCAGCAUCUUCAUAAAAGCGUCAGGCAACCUCUGCAAUUUGGGACAAGGAAUGAUGUAGCAAACAACAGAGUUAUCAUAAUGAGAUGGGUGAAGGGGAGAUCUCUCGUUUUAUAUACCUGCCUCGUGGCUGAUACUGAAGAAGAAAGUAUGAUAGUGAAGAACUCGAAAGCAUCCAACUCGUACUCCGGUGAGGCAGAGCGGCGGUGGCUGCUUCCCCCCAUCUCUGAUAAGCAGCAGAAGAGACCAAUUAGUACCCUUACAACAUUAUAGCAGCAUAAAUUUUGAGCAGAAGAUAAUCAACAUUAGUCGCAAGUACCCCAUAUGUCCUAUUUUUAGCAAAGUCAUGCUAAAAUUCACGGAAAAUUUCAGCAUGACCUUUGCUGAAAAUAGGACAUAUGGAGUACCCGAAUUUGCCGGAACGGAAGUUAAUCGACAUUCUGGCAAACUCAAGGGCCUCUUGGGGUACCUGCAAAAUCAUUAUCCCCGCAUAAUGAAGUCGCCAAUGGGUCAUUCAGAAGAUCAUAAGUAGCAUCAUCACAAGUACAACAUCAUGACAUGUACAGCAGUAGCAGUAGUGAAUACAAGCAUAACAGCAGCAGCAGCAGUUAAGAAAAAGUUGCCGAAGCUUGAAAAAUCAACGACGGCGNNNNNNNNNNNNNNNNNNNNNNNNNNNNNNNNNNNNNNNNNNNNNNNNNNNNNNNNNNNNNNNNNNNNNNNNNNNNNNNNNNNNNNNNNNNNNNNNNNNNNNNNNNNNNNNNNNNNNNNNNNNNNNNNNNNNNNNNNNNNNNNNNNNNNNNNNNNNNNNNNNNNNNNNNNNNNNNNNNNNNNNNNNNNNNNNNNNNNNNNNNNNNNNNNNNNNNNNNNNNNNNNNNNNNNNNNNNNNNNNNNNNNNNNNNNNNNNNNNNNNNNNNNNNNNNNNNNNNNNNNNNNNNNNNNNNNNNNNNNNNNNNNNNNNNNNNNNNNNNNNNNNNNNNNNNNNNNNNNNNNNNNNNNNNNNNNNNNNNNNNNNNNNNNNNNNNNNNNNNNNNNNNNNNNNNNNNNCGGGGGAGGGUGCGGGGGGUGCUCGUCAGCGGGGGCGGGUGCGGGGGGUGCUCUCGGCGGCGGUGGAGCGGGGGAGGGUGCGGGGGGUGCUCGUCGGCGGCGGUGGAGCGAUGGAGGGAUCGAGAUCGAGAUGAAGGGGGAUAGCGAUCGAGAUGGAGGGAGAUCAAGAUCGAGAUGGAGGGGGAAUCGAGAUCAAGAUGGAGGGGGGUCGAGAUCGAGUGUCCUCAUGAAUUCAAAAAGUGCCCAUGAAAUUUAAAAAUAUUCAUGAUAUCAAAAAGUGCCCGAGAAAUGAAGGCUACAAUUUAAAAAUAUUUAUGAUAUCAAAAUAUUAAUGAUAUUCAUGAAUUCAAAAUAAUUUUUAUACUAAUGACGCACCGUGACACAGUGCGCCAUUACUAGUUUAAACUAGUAAUGGCGCACUAUGCGACGGUGCGCCAUUAGUAGUUUUGCAAAAAAAGUAAAAAAAAAUACAGUAGUGGCGUACUCUAUGGCUGGUGCGCCAUUAGUAGUUCUAACUACUAAUGACACACUUUGCCUGGAUGCGCCAUUAAUAUGUUUGAAAAAAUGAAAAAAAACAAUUUGUUACUAGUGGCGCACCUUGUGCCUGGUGCGCCAUUAGUGUCUCCACAUGGUGCGUCAUUAGUAUAUAGUAAUGGCACACCACUUCUCUGAUGCGUUAUUAGUGUCAAUUUUAUGUUUAGCUCUUUUUCUAGUAAUGGGCCUACUACAAAGCAAUCAGUGCCUUCCUCAUAGUACUAAUCACGAAUGUUCCACAAGUCCACAUCUAACAGUCUUAGGAACGACAAUAUUUCGUAUUUACUUAAAAUCUAUAACGGUUGUAAUAUCUCAUUAUGACUAUUUUUCAUGUUAAUGUUGAGAAAUGUCGGCUCAAACUAGAAAAGAUGAAUUAUAGAGGUUUGUAAUAAGUGCUCUUUUUAAUCGGAAGGAGCAAUAUUAGUGGGAAGGAGCAGGAAAUACAUGGGGCCUCACCCGAAGAUUGGGAGCCUGGAUUGAAUCAUAUGGACCUCUUCAUCCAACCGUCGAAUUGGGGAGGUGGUGUUGCCUGGUAUCAUGGGGAUAAAUCUCACAGUAAGAGAGGGGGGAAACAAGGCUUGGUCUGGCGCUAUGUAGGUGGGUUGCACAAGAUGUAUACAUGUUUAGGUCCCUCGUCGUGGAGGUAAAAUCUGCAGUCUUGUUUCUCCAGAGAGGAGUGUUCUUGCCUAUGAGUGUGUGAAUACAAAGGUUCUGGCCGCGUAACUAGGUGCCAGUAGGGUGCUUUUGUAGAGUUCGCUACCCCACACAUCCCUUCAUGCUACGGAUGAGUUUAGGUCUAAGUAAUUACAUCUGAGUUAUUACUAGUAACUGGCGAUAUAGAACCAAGGUAACGUCAUGAUUGAGGGCUUAGGAACGUCUAAAUUAAUGCUUCUGGCUUCUGGCUUCAGUCUCACCCCUUGCUCAAAUGCUACCGAGUGAAAUGGCCAUUUGACGGAAAGGUUCGUCGGACUUGAUCUUGCGGAAUCGAAGUGUGUACUGUAAAUGGUCACACAAUUGUUCUUCGCAACAACUGUGUGAAAAAUUUGUCUUCAGGACAUUUUCAGUUAGGAUUGAAUUAAGCUUCAUGAAGGAAGGGUCCAAGGACCUAAGCGACAACCUCUACGAAAAAGAAAAACUAAUGCCUUCUCUGAACUAGUCAGAGGAAAUAUUUGUAUUCGCUUAAAAGAUUCUCUACGAAAUCUCAGGGAUUUAGUGGGACGGACAGACGGUUUUGCAAGAAACCUCUUGAUUCCCGCACUUGGGCCUCUCUUGACCAAUGUGCGCUGUAGCAGCCAUGAUGGUAGCGCAGACGACACUGUCAUGUUGAAGGAGCAGGCGCCGCCGGUCUCCGCGUUCCGGUUGUUGCAAGAGGAGCAACGACACAACCAGCAAACUCCUCAAGCAUCGCCAGAUUGUGGAAUGGCAAAACGGCGGCCAAGCGAAUGAGCUUACCAUCGUGGCCAUGCUCGUAGGAGAAUCUAGGCUUCGUCGACGAGCAGCGGACGUUGUGCCAAUAUCAAUGAGGCGGAGCAUGACCACAUGUUCGAGGAGAUCGCGGCGGAGGUGGCACAGGCGGUGUCGGACGGGAAUGUUGUCAAUGUUGAUAACUUUGCGUUAUUCAUGUCAGGGCACAACGACAAUGAGGCCGGACCAUCCUGCUCGAUCAUGGACCUCACUUCUACCAGCGAUGUCGACGGCCGGACAACGGAUUCCAGUGAAGAAGAAUAGGACACAAAACACAGGCGUGCCAGACAUGUGAUGCUACGUAAAGAAAAUCUUAUAAGGUGCAUAGAAUUGUGUCUGCUUUUAUAAGGUGCAUAGAAUUAGAUAAGUGUUCUCCUAUCCGCAUAUGUUUGACGUGUCCAACUUGAUGCGCAAGGUUGGAGGAGAUGCCCUGGCAUAUCACCUUUCAUUCCGUACGUCAUUAAAGAUGUCAACAGAACACAUCAAACUGCCUAACCACACAGCGGUUGUUCUGCAGCCUUCAGAUUGAGAUUACAAUCACAGACACGCGAGCAACAGGGACGACCCUGAAGAAAGAAAACCGAGCAAGCAAGCAAGCGACUCGAUCGUAGGCGUCUUUUUAAAAUUAUCAUCGUCCAUUCGUGGUACCAGCAAAGAUGACGCGGUUUAUCUGAUCUCGUUGCGUCCAUCAUCCUCGACCGUUGUUGCAAGGUGUACGUCUGAACUUUACAUUGAACCUGAGAGUCUGAGACCGACCGGCCGGUGAGAGCAAGACUCGCAGGCCGAAGGUAGCAGCCGCUGGACCUGACUGCCCCGGUCGACGCUGAGGCUCCGGUGGUGCUUGCUCCAUGCUCAGGCUCCGGUGGUGCUCCGUCGACCGCCAACCACCUCCGCGACGGACGGACGAGUCCUCAGAUCGGAGACCAACGUCGCUCCGCCAACGACCCCCACCCCACCCACGUCCCUUCCACGACCAUGGCUGCCUAGCUUUGGACGAUGCUCAUGGUAAAAGUGCGUGCGCGGGCAAUCACCCCAUGUUUCCACGAGUCCGUCCAACGCCAAAAAAAAAAAAGCAUCAAAAUGCCGCUCAUUCCUCUCCCUUUCCUGUCCGCGAUCACCUUUUUAACCUUUGCACCUCCCUCCCUUUUUAUACCGUUAUUAUUAAAGGCAUACUACAUUCUGGUUCUAGUAAAAAACACCAAAGACUCUGGUUCGAUCGGCUGGUAGUAUGUAACUGCUACCGGGUGAAAACGGGAGCAGGCCGAUCGACGACAAGGACGGAAUCGUUUGAAUAUGCAGCGUACGUACGUCUUGGACCGAUCCUUUGGCUGGCCAGUACGUACAUACCGGGUAAAUUAAAAUGGGCCAUGUUUUUCCAAAGGCGUAUAUCGCCGCUGGUGAAGUACUCUGCCCGUGUGUUUGAUAAAAAUAAAAAGUACGACCACGAUGCAUGGCUGCCUAGCUUUGGACGAUGCUCGUGGUAAAAGUGCGUGCGCGGGCAAUCACACACGUUUCCACGAGUCCAUCCAACGCCAAAAACAAGCAUAAAAAUGCCGCUCAUUCCUCUCCCUUUCUGCCCACGAGCACCUUUUUAACCUUUGCAGCUCCCGCCCUUUUUAUACCGUUAUUAUUAAAGGCAUAUAUUAUAUAAAGAUUUUUGUCCGCGCGUCGAUCUCCAGGGCCCGGCCGCGUGCAGCUGCCCAAUCGACGACCAGGACCUUGUCCAUAGGGAAUCGUUUGAAUAUACACCUCCGCUGAAAAAUAUAUUCGUCAGUGAACGCACGGCUUCGAUCUUCUGGCGGUGUUUAACUGCUACCGGGUGAAAAUGGGAGCACGGCCGAUCGACGACCAGGACCUUCUCGGCAGGGAAUCGGUUAGGGUUUUUUAGUCCUCGUAGGUGUGGUGCUUGGAUGGAUGGCGGCGCUACUUCUUCGAGUUUGCCCUCCGGGAUUCGAUCCUCCUCGAGUUCAUUCGUUUGGAUGUCGUCGACGGAGCUCCAGCAUAGAUUCCUGCCGUCUCUUUGUGGCGGUGAGGUCAGGGUUUCUCGUCUUGUGGCGAUAUUUGUUGUCAGGUGCUUUAGAUAUAUAUAUGCAAGGGUUCAACGACGACGACGACUGCUGCUCCAGGGCGCUGGCCCUUAGGGGCAGGUGCACGAACGCUUCCCGGCUGUCAUCGACAAGGUCAAGCCGGCUCCGGUAGGGGAGCGACGACAGCGGCGCGCCGGCGGCUCGUUCUGGCGGCAGGAGUGGUUGUUUGAGUCUUGGAAUCUCAAUGUAAAUUUUAUUAUGAUCGAGAUGCUUUGUACUUUUGCUGAAUUUUAAUAAUAGAUUUGGGUCAUUUUCGCAAAAAAGAAAUUUUUUGACGGUGUUCUGCAAAGGCGCAUAUCGCAGCUGGUGAAGUACUCUGCCCGUGUGUUUGAUAGAUAAAAAUGAAAAGGGACUUGAAUUAGCCGGUCAAGUCUUGCAGAUGAGAUGAGCACACCAAGACAAGUCUUGCAAGUAAGCUAGCCAGCAGCUGCUUGCUUAACUUGUCGGUUGUCGCCAUCGUCCAGCCAGCAUGCUUGGAAAAUGUAGAAUUAAUUCUAGGGGUAAUUGUGGAUAGUUGACUUGUGCCUUUCUUUAAUCCUUCUGUUUCUUCACAUAAAAAUCAGUCGUUUUCAGCACACACAACGAAAAAACAAGUAGAUACACUAUGCCUAUGACUAAAGAAAAAAAAAACAAUCAUUUUGAACAGCUAUGGAUAUACACACCAACUCUUCAAAUGCAAGUAACUACGCACGCGUCGACCUGACUGUUUUGGUAUUCAAUAAGUCUUUCCUCUCUCACUAAGCAUGUUUUGGUAUUCAUGUCCUGCAAGCAAGAUUGGUUUUGAAUGUUUGGUUGUGCCAUUAACAAAAAGGGAUGAUUCUUUCGAAGUGGUUUUAAGUGGAUGCAAAAUUACCCAUGAAAUAAAGUGCAAAUAAAUCAUUAGUUUUUUUUCUAAAAAAAGAGUAAAUGUCCUUUAGAAAAAUUGAAUUAGUCAUACAAAUUUAUUUGGCGCGAGGACGUCAAAUUUAGUCUAUGAUCACGGCAUUUUCUUCUGGCAAAAUAAAUAAAUAAACCGAGUCGGAUUUGCGAUGCUUGCUAAGUAAACUUGUGAGCCUCGGCAAACAGAAGUUGCCACAAGAAAGUCUGAUUUUGCCAUGGUCAAAAAUCUGACGAUAGAUUUGUGGUGGAGUCCUUGAAAUUUGUAUUCAAAAUUCUUUGUGAACCAAAGUGCUCUUCCUUUUUUUUUUGAGGGGCCAAAGUGCUCUUCCUGGGUUGGUGAUUUGAAUUGAAUCGUGGACCUAUUCAUCCCACCCUCCCUCCCCCGUACCGAAGCAAAUGAGAAAGAUCCAUCCUCCCUCGCUCCCACCGGCGCACGCGUCGACCUGACUGCGCAGCGGGCCCCGCCAGCCCCAGCCCCUGACCCGUCGUCUCAUCUCCCGUCCGAUAAAUAGCCCGUGAAUCGGGGAGGUGGUGGUGCCCGGCAACAGCCUCCCCUCGUCCUCGUCCUCGCCUCCUUCGACCCGCGCAAGCGCAAGCGCCCAACCACCACCACCACCACCACCACCUCCACCCACCCCUCGCAAAUCCCAGGCCACGCACGUAGCACCACACCACCACUGCCCCCAACAAGCAAGCCAAAACACACACCCGGCACCGAAGCGGAAGCCAAACGGGAAUCCGCCAGUGCGGAGCAGAGGACGCCACGCCACGGCCAUGGCCACGGACGCCGCGCACCAGGUACGCACCCGCGCCCUCCGAUCCGGCCGCCGCACUAGCUACUUUUUCUUUCGGGGGCCGGGGGCUUUCUGCGGCCGGGAGCCCGAGCUCUGCCCGUCCCCGCCCCCCGCGUGGCCUCGAUUCCGGGCAUUCCGCGCAGCGGGUGCUCGGAAUCGGCCCCGCGGCAUGCUGCUGUUGCUGGUUACCUCAACUUGUCAAGAAAAACGUCGCUGUUGCCUUCCUGCUGCUGACGAACGAAUGCUUCGUUAUCUCUGUCUGACAGGAGGCGGUCCAGCAGCCGGACUCGAGGCUCCGGAGCCUCAACCCGGGGCCGAUACCCAUCCCGGCGGCGCCCAGCUCCAGAUCGCUGCUGGAGAAGGUACGUACGCUUUCCGGGUCAUGCCGUACGCAUCUUCUUCCUGCCCGCUUCCGCUUCCGCUUCCGCUUGCGUUGUUGCGUGCCUGACGGCCUGAAUCUGACGGUCAUGGGCGGCGCUACCUCCAACCAACUAACCACAGUCCGGAGUACGGCUCCGCACGUUUUUCAGCCACCUAACUUGCUUGUCCUGCGGUUGGGGGAAUGUUUGAAUUCCUCUCGACAUUAGUUUACUUUCCCAAUUAAACAAAUGCAGUGGCUAUCAUCAGGCUAUCAGCCCGUUUACCCAAUCUUCGUGGUGAUUCUCUUGAUUAAAAAACGUGCGGCUCAUUUGCAUCUGUACUUUUGCAGAGCACGAGUCCAAUUCGUGGUCAGGGUUUGGCAGGCAAACGUUUCACCUUACAUGCAUUGCUCAGUUUAUGUUGUGAUUGUGAUUGUUUUAAUCGAUAUAGGGUGAAUUGAUCAUCUCCCCAGUUUAGCUUUAAGAAGCUUACAUCUUACAAGUUCAUAUGCCCGUAUGCGCUUAUACGCUGAGCUGAUCUGGAAAUCCUUCAGAGCUUGUAAAUUUACUUAUUGGGAUUAUCUGCUGUAAUAAUAUAUAUAGCAAGGCUAAACUAAGGUGAACAUCUUCUUAGAAUGUUAGCUCGCAAUCGGUUUGUUGGAUUUGAACUGAAAGGGAUUAACGUCCGCACCGUAAGGAAAAUAAAGAAUUGGAGACAUUUUGACUCUGUUCCCCUCAUCAGAUUUCCCAUUGUCUUAUUGACAGACCUUCCUUGUAUUUCAGGUUUCCGAUCAACCAGUAAAUCUGGACCUCACAGCCUCGCAUCAAAGUGAAAAUGACUCCAUCUCUACAGUUAGUUCAGUGGAAUCAGAGAAGGCGGCUUAUGAAUUCCUUGCUCAAACUCCUAUCAAGUCAACUGAUAAACACCUUGUGGAGUUUUCAGAGGCUAUGAGAAGUAAGGACACACGCACUUUCAGAUGACCCUACGUGAAUCCUCUUAUAUAACAGUUACAUAUACAUAUGUUGUGAUUUUUACCUGCACUCCAAAUAGUGACUGGUGCAAUUUUCUCAAUUUGAAGCUGUUGCAAAAGCACUGCGACAAGUUGCUGAAGGGAAGGCUGCUGCUCAAGCGGAGGCGGCAGAGUGGAAACGGAAAUAUGAGUUAGAGACGGCGCAAAAGCAACAAACCAGAAUCAAAGGUCAGAUUUAUACAUUUGCAGUUGAUGCUUUUACUAUUUACAGACAAUAUCAUCCGUUGAGUUCAUAGUUGGUUUAAUGAAGUGGCGUACUAGUUCAGGUCACUAAACAAAUAGUUUCCAGAUUCUCAAUGAUCUGAAAUUUACUGUUGGUAUUUAUCAGCAUGUGUUUACAAAAGGAAGCUUUUCUUAUGAAAGUACCGUGCAAUGCAAAUCUAGAUGUUUACACACAGAUUGAUGCCCAUGGCUGUUUACAAAAGGAAGCUUUUAUUAAAUUUGAGUCUUGGGUCAUCGCAACGUGCUUCAUGUGGUCACACUUUUUAUUUUUCCAAAGGGAGUAUCAUACUAGUAUAAUUGGAUGGAUCCCAGAAUGGUUAAUCCGUAUCUUACACCGUGAAAUGCAUUAUGCUCUUUUCCAAUGUACUGGAACCCUUGAGAAAAAAAUCUAAUUGGACUGUUAACCUUGUGCAGACUGUGGCACUUGUACCGAUGAUAACCUAGGGAAAAUGGCCAGCCAACUAUCACUUGAGGCACCUGCAUCUGAUCAAACAGGAUGUUGUGGAAACCAUGGGAUAUGUUCACACGAGGUUCUCCAGGACGAAGUUCCUGGACCUAACCCAAGACCUAGUCUCAGUAUGGUGGGAAGAAAGGCAUCAUUUAGACUUUCAUGGGGAUGCAAUGGGAACAAAAACGGCCAGCACAAGCAUGACUUUGUUUCCUUUGAAAAAGGAGACAUUACAACCGCAGAGCGCAGCAGUAAACAGGUUGAGCCUCUUAUUCUGCUUGUUUCAUUCUGAAAUAAAAUGUUGUACCUAUUUGAUUCGGGAACCUGGAAUCACUUGAUCAAAGAAUUGUCAUUGUUAAACAUGUCUAUCUUUCUUAACAAAGGAUGCCUUGGUUUCAGAUCUUGCUGAAGUGGGAAUCCCGGCCACAAACAGUGCUUUUCAUAACCAAACCCAACUCCAACUCUGUUCGUGUUCUCUGUGCUGAAAUGGUCAGGUGGGUUCUCUUCUGUAUUGCAGCACUGGUUGCCAUAGUCUUACUGUCAUGUUUAUGUGAACCUUAUCUGGAACAUAUUCAAAAAAUGUAUAUUUUCCAUGUUUCUGAACUGUGAGUUAUUUUGCUGUGCAUUCACCACUGCACAAAGCACUUGUCUUCAGUUAAACAUGAACUUAUCCAAAUUAUCUUGAUAUCGCUGAUGCAAGCACUUGUUAGAUAGGUCAUAUAUGCCAUCAUGCUAUGGCAAAAUAUGUAUUGCACUUGCAGCACUAGAACUCCGAUGUGACAUUUAUUUUACUGCAGAUGGCUUAAAGAGCACAAAAAUAUUAAUGUCUUUGUGGAACCGUGGGUUAGCAAGGAACUUCUGACAGACGAUUCUAACCACACUGUGCAAACAUGGGAUAAUGGUAAGAUAAUUUAUAUCAUGUAAUGCUGUCCUUUCAUGCUGCUCCAGAUUAGUUAUUUCGGAACAUUAGAUAUAAUUAAGAAUUAAUUUAUUAUUUCAGAUAUCCACCAGAGUUUUUUCUGUUUCUGAUAUUCUUAUGAAGGAAGAAUGGUCCUGAUAACUGAAGCAAUCUGAAUAAACCUCCUUAAACUAGAUAUACAUGCAAAUCAUUAUUGGCCGAACUGUAUACAGUACUAAAACUGUGCGUUUUUUAUCUAAAGGUCUAGAAUGUGCACAUAGGCUGCAGAAUAGCUGCAAGUUGUAACCACUAAUAACUUAAUUCCUGUUGUAGAUUUAGGAAGAACCCACCUUUCAUUGUAGGAUUAUAUUGGCCAAUUUUUUUUAUUUUGUUCGUUAUUGUGUUUAUCUUUUGAGUUCUGUUAGUUUGCUAAAUCUUAUUACUUAAUCUAUUCACAUAGCACCCCCCCUUUCUCUCCAACUAAUUAGAAAAUUCUUGAUAGACGACGACAAAAAGAUGUUGCACAAGAAGGUUGACCUCAUUGUAACUCUUGGCGGUGAUGGAACUGUUCUAUGGGUAAGCAAAUACAAUUCUUUGAUCCACUUUGUAAAGCAUCCUUGCAGAUUCUUGUAUGGGCUUACGCUUUUGUAUAAUUUUCAUAUAGGGGCCACCGAGUUAUAAUUUGUUCCAGAGUGGCUAAAUCUACUUCUGUUGUUAUUAGUACACCACUUAUAAUAGUUCUCUGAAGCAAUAACUGCCUCCCUGGUCAGGCAUUGCAGAGCUUUAGCCUCCUGUCAUGUUUUUUGAAUAUGAAAAGCCUUAAGGGGAUAAUGCGAACGUAAUAGUUUGUUGAAGGUUCACAUGCAUAUUUGGUCAAUAAUUAAUAUGCGGUGUACCAUUGGCGAACAGCUGAAGUAGAAGGUCUACAGAUCUCUCCAGUAUUACUAGUUCUUAUGGGAGUUGCCACUUCAAAAUGGGGAAUUCUAGUACAGUUUAAUAGCUGUGACGGCUAAGAGUUUCAUACUAGUGUGCUAUUUUGUUUGACAAAAGUAGAUAUCUUGUGUGCUAUUUCAAGUACAACCAUCAUUUGGCUGGACAAAUUAGAUUUUCUGUCAAGAGGAACUAAUUGCUUGCCAUAUUCUUGUUUUGAUCUGUAACUUCACGCAAGGCUUAAUUUGGUUCAGUUUCUCCUGUAUUGCUACUGAAACUGGCUAUUGAUUUAACCUCUUGACAGGCGGCAUCAUUGUUCAAAGGACCAGUUCCUCCAGUUGUUGCGUUCGCCAUGGGAUCACUGGGUUUCAUGACACCUUUCCGUAUCCUCUAUGAUCGAUUAUGAGUGUUUGCUAAAUAUGCUGCUAAAAUUUGAUUGUUAUAUGACGUCUAUAGCAUUUUUGUUUUAGCUUUUCCCUAGUACUAUUCUGUAUUUGUGUGAGCUUGUUACACAUAGUAUAUUAAAAAAAAUGAAGUUCUAUGUUCAUACCUAGCUUACAUUUUUCUUUCAUACAAUGAUUAGUUGUCGAUGUUUGGCUAUUCUGACCUAUAUUUUCAGUAAGCCUAGAACAAAAUUGGUCUAAAACCCCCAUGCUUGGUAGCUGAUAAAUAAUAAAUCAAUCACACAUGAUGGUCUCUAUUCUCCUGUUGGCAUCAGUUGUCCUUAACCUGUUUUCAGCAAGCGAGCAAUACCGUGGUUGCUUGGACAACGUGCUGAAGGGACCUUUCAGCAUAACACUGAGAAACCGUCUCCAGUGUCAUGUAAUCCGUGACGCAGCCAAGGACGAGAUCGUGACCGAGGAGCCAAUCCUGGUGCUAAACGAAGUUACAAUUGACCGCGGAAUAUCAUCCUACCUUACCUACCUGGAAUGCUACUGCGACAGCUCAUUCGUCACAUGCGUACAAGGGGACGGACUCAUCAUAUCAACCACGUCAGGAAGCACAGCGUAUUCGUUAGCGGCCGGAGGGUCCAUGGUUCAUCCGCAGGUAUGCCCUACUCUGAUUUGCAGCCUUGUGCUCGCAUUAUUGCAGUAAAUUUUGUCAUUAUUAGUAGUUAGAGCGAUGCUUCGCUCCAGAUUCAUUCUAGUCAGCACAGUGAAGAGGGAUGAUUGCAGGCUUAGCUCUGUUAUCAAUUUGUACUUUGCACUGCAACCUCUCCUUUUCGAAGUAGCCUGUGAUUGAGGGCUCUCUGACAAAGCAAGAAGUGCAGUUAAUCUCUUGUUUUCUACCCAUUAAACACUUCACUCUGCCCUCAGAUCCAAGCCAAUGUCCAUCCGAAUAAGUUUGCUGUUUUCCCCGUGCCAUUUCUCCUGUCCAGCGCUGCUGCUUUGGUUGAUUGGUUCCUAACCGUUGGUGUCGUCUAUCUGCAUCUGCAGGUCCCCGGCAUCCUGUUCACGCCGAUCUGCCCCCACUCGCUGUCGUUCAGGCCGCUGAUCCUGCCGGAGUACGUGACGCUGCGCAUCCAAGUGCCCUACAACAGCCGGGGCCACGCGUGGGCGUCCUUCGACGGCAAGGACCGGAAGCAGCUGGCCCCCGGCGACGCGCUCAUCUGCAGCAUCUCCCCCUGGCCGGUGCCGACGGCGUGCCUCGUCGACUCCACCACCGACUUCCUCCGCAGCAUCCACGAGGGCCUCCACUGGAACCUCCGGAAGACGCAGACCCUCGACGGCCCGCGCGACUGAUGGGAGUGCUGCUGCGUUGUGUUUGAACUUUGAGGCUUUGAGCUGGGCAAUGGCAAGGCGCCCGUGGAUUUGUUUGGUUCGUGUCUGUUUACUGUUUACCUGUACAAGUUGGCCGGAGGUGGAGUAGUGGUAUGUAUACAGUGAGUGGCCACGGGUUCCUUGGGCUUGAUGCAAUGUAUGACAGGUGACAGCACAAGUGGCAAGCGAUGUGCUCAUGUGGAUGUAGUAGAUAUUCUCAAAAAAAAAAAUGUGGAUGUAGUAGAUGUGGUGGCCAUAUGGAUAAUGGAACUGGCAGCAGCUCAGAAUGUAUGUAGAGAACACACACACGGCAUGUAUAGUCGCACCCCCCAUGAUGUGAAUGAAAUAAUACCUUCGUUGGUAAAAAGCGGCAGUGUUUCUCACUGUUUUUCUCCGUUACAGUUUUUUCUCUUUGCAGUUGUGCAACC
rnacentral:lncRNA from 1 species